rnacentral:lncRNA from 1 species
AAGAAGAAUGUGUUCUAGCUAUCAAAAAAUUCCACAUGAACAACUCUGUUGAUUUUACAGUGAAACACACUGAUUCUAGAAGGUAUGUUAUCGAAUGUCGUAACAUACUUUGUAAGUUUCAUUUGGCUGCGUCUUAUAAAAAGAAAAAUGACUCUUGGGAGAUCGCUUCAAUAAACCCACCUCAAAGUUGCAUUGCAACUAACGUUGAACAAGAUCACCGUAAACUAAGCGCUGUGUUGAUAUGUCAAGACAUUCUGCCGUUGGUUAACAAAGACCGAUCAGUGAAGGUGAGUAUAAUUAUAUCCCAUAUCAGAACAACAUAUAAUUAUACUUCAUCUUACAAGAAAGCUUGGAUUGCGAGAACAAAGGAUGUUGAACAAGUAUUCGGCAAAUGGGAGGAUUCAUACAAGGAAUUGCCACGGUUUUUAUGGGCACUAAAAACAUAUGUCCCAGGAACUGUGGCAAUUAUGGAGACAUUGUCAGCGAUGAUGCCAAACGGAACAUGUGCUACAGGUAAUAGAAUCUUUCACCGUCUCUUUUGGGCAUUUGACCUGUGCAUCAAAGGUUUCACAUUCUGCAAACCUAUUAUUCAAAUUGAUGGUACUUGGUUAUACGGAAAAUACAAGGGUACUUUGCUCAUGGUGGUUGCACAGGACGACAACAACAAUGUCUUUCCCAUUGCCUUUGCUCUGGUUAAAGGUGAAACGGCUGGUGGAUGGGGUUUCUUUCUUCGACAUCUCAGAACGCAUGUGGCUCCACAAGCCAAUCUCUAUUUGAUUUCUAAUAGACAUGCUGCCAUUGAGAGUGCCUACAACAACCAUGACAACGGAUGACAUGAUCCUCCUUCUACCCAUGUCUAUUGCAUCAGAAACAUUGCACAAAACUUCAUGCGUGCUAUAAAAGAUAAGAAUCUUCGCAAGAAGGUGGUGAAUACUGGGUAUGCUCUAACUCAGCCGUCAUUUCAAUAUUAUCGUGAUGAAACUAAACAGUCUAAUGAAGACGCAGGGAGAUGGCUAAAUAACAUACCAGUAGAGCAGUGGACAAGGGAAUUUGACAGAGGUUGUCGAUGAGGCCACAUGACAACAAACCUUGUGAAAUGGAUGAACGGGGUAUUCAAAUGAAUUCGAAAUCUGCCGAUAACCGCCUUGGUAAGAUCGACCUAUGAUAGGUUGGCUUCUAUGUUCGCAACCAGAGGUAAAAGAUGGAGUGCAAUGUUAAUAUUCGGGCAAGUAUUCAGUGAGUGUUGCAUGAAGGUCAUGAAAGAGGAGAGCAUCAAAGCUAACACACACGUUGUAACAGUCUUUGACCGUCAUAGGCAAAAUUUCAACGUCCAGGAAACAAUGGAUCACAACGAGGGGAGACCAAAUUUAGCCUAUGCUGUUAGACAAAACAGAAGUUGGUGCAAUUGUGGAAAAUUCCAGGCCUUCCGCAUUCCUUGCUCCCAUGCCAUUGCAGCAUGCACUUAUACUCGUCAAGACGCUUACAUCCAUUUAUCUGAUGUGUACAAGACUAUCACCGUCAUGAAUGUAUAUAAUCAAAGCUUCUCGGUACUACCAAUGGAGAAAUACUGGCCUCCAUAUGAAGGUGAUAUAGUUUGGCACAAUGACGAGAUGUGUAGAAAGAAAAAAGGAAGGCCAGACAACACACGUAUCAGGACAGAAAUGGAUUCCACAGAUGAAAUGAUAAGAUUAUGUAGUAUCUGUCAUCAACCAGGACACAACAAGAACAACUGUCCCAGUCGAGGAGCAUCAUUUGGGUCUUAAGCUUUUUGUAACAUUGUAUUUCUGUAACCUUCAACCAUUAUAUAUCAUUAAGUUUUUGUUACAACGAGGUUCACAACAAACAUCAGUACAAAAUAAGUUAUAUGAAAAUAGAAAUAUUUCUAACUUAUUACAACAAUCAAAUUGAUGACAUCUCGACCGAACAUCAUUUCCCUAGCAUCCUUAUUAGUCUUCAUUCGCACACAACCAAAGAUACUGUCGAGUCUCUCAAUACUUCUAAUUUUUUCCCCUUAUGGUAUUUUCCCAUCUAACCAACAAACCAACUCCCUCUUCAGUUGAUCGAACAUAGUGAUGUUCUAGAACAACAUCAGCAUCUGAGAUUUGUCUCUCGCAUAAAUCACCUUUCCGUAUCGGCGACAAACACCAAACAUGAUUGCCAAAUGAUUAAUUGAGACGUGGAACAAUGACUCACACAACGCAUCUAUUUAUAACACAAAAAUUGCAUUUUACACUGAGGCGCCAAUCCAAUUGGUGCCUCCUCUCAAGCUAUACACAGGGGCGCCAAUCCAAUUGGCUAGGGCACCUGCCCUAGCCAAUCCAAUUGGCACCUGCAUUCAAUUUUUAAGAGGAGUCGCCAAUUGAAUUGGCGCCUCCUUCUAAAAGUGGGGUAGUUUGAGUUUUUUUUUGAAAUCAGGGGUAUUUUGGGAAUUUCCUUGAAAAAGUGGGUUAUUUUUGUAAAAAAUUCUAAAUUUUAGUAUGAGUUUUAUAUAUUUAAGUUAGCUAUUAUUUUAUAGUUAUUUUAUUUUUUAUUAAUUCUAUUACCUUGUUAAAAAUAUAGUCUUCUUUGUGUGAUUAGUUUCGCUUGAGAUAAGCACACCUAAAAUUGAAUUAUGAAAUGUAAUACAAUAUCGUUUAAGAGAGGUAUUACACAAGUGUAUUAUCAAUUAAGAAAAGCAGGCCAAAAGUUGAAUCAUGAGAUAUAAUACAAUAUUGCUUGAGAGAAGUAUUAUACAAGUGCAAGAUCAAUUGAGAGAAAGACAUUUAUAUUUGUGUUAUGGCAUAAUGCAGUAUCAUUAAGAGAAUCACGACCCUCUAUAGAUUAGAAUGGUAUCAAGAAAGAUAAGAAGUUUAGGGUAUAAGAGCAUGAUAUCAUAGUUUGAAUUAUGAUUGAACUUGAUUAUUAUCGUAGUUUAUAUUGAUAUCAAAUAUUUAUUGCAUUGUAAUAAGGUUACUUUAACAUGAAAAUAUUUAUUUUUCAAUUGUUAAUAUGUAGAUGUUUGAUGUUGAUGGUGUGUUAAAUGUAAUUUUAUAUCAUAUUACAUUCCAAUUAAGAUUGACUUGCCAAUUAAGAUUGGCCCGACCAUCUUCACUAUUACCUUCCAAGUUAUGGACAUACACCCUGGAUAUAGUUGCUUGCUUGGAAGACCUUGGAUUCACUCUGCGGGCAGAGUAACCUUUACCUUACACCAAAAGUUAAAAUUUAUCACGAAUGACAAGAUGAUCGUGAUUGGAGGUGAAGAGGACAUCCUGGUUAGCCACUUGACUUCUUUCAGAUAUAUCGAAGUGGAAGGAGAAAUCACUGAGACACCAUUCCAGUCCUUGGAAGUGGUGAAUGUAUUGACAAUCCAACAGAUAUCUGAGUCACCAAAAUCAACGUUGUCAAUGGCCUCCUGGCAAGGAGCUAAAGCUGCUAUGAGAAUGGGAACGCCCAAGGCUGGGGUAAAAUGAUAGAAGUGCGCGAAAAAUGGAACAAGUUUGGUUUGGGAUAUGAACCAUCCCCAGUUGGAACAAGUAGUCAGCAUGACAAAAAGCAGAUCCCCCCUGUUGAGGAGAUAUUCACCAGUGCUGGCCAUGUCUUUGGAGAUCAAGUUGCGAUGAUUAACGAAGAAGCUUAUGAUGAGAUGAUGUCCAGCUGGAUACGUCAGACAACACCCAAUGAAGAACUAAAGAACUGGAAGACUGUAGAAAUCCCCCAAUUCUUUCAAAAGUAAUUUUAUUGUUUUAAUCAAAACCCUGUGCUCUGGCCAAGGCAUUGUGGCAUGUUGUAGGGACUCCUUAUUUUUAGAACUUCGAUUAUCAUUAAUAAAAUGGCAAUUUGCAUUCAAAUUUUUGUUCCUUUUCUUUCACUUUUAUCUACAAUAAAAAUGGCAUUAAUUCUUAUGCACACACUUUCUAAAUAAACUGCAUAAAUCAUAACAUGCAGAGACACCACCGAGACCGUUGAUAACGACACUGUUAUAGCCUUACAUGAUUUUGACUGUCCAAUUUACCAAGCCAAAGACGAAGGCGGAGAAGAUUGGGAACUCCCUGAAGAGCUGGCCAGAUUACUCAAAUAAGAAGAGAAAGUCAUUCAACCAUACCAAGAGGACGUCGAAGUCAUCAAUCUCGGAACUGAGGAAAGCAAGAAAGAAGUAAGGAUAUGCGCAAUCCUUCAAGAUGCAGUGAAGGCAAGAUUGAUAGAGCUCCUCCUCGAGUAUGCCGAUGUGUUUGCUUGGUCAUACCAAUAUAUGCUUGGGCUAGACACUGAUAUUGUUACACAUAAGCUUGUGUUCAAAGAAGAAUGCUCUGCUGUCAAACAAAAGCUAAGAAGAACUCGUCCAAACAUGGCUCUCAAGAUUAGAGAGGAGGUAAGAAAUCAGUUUGACGCUGGUUUCCUAGAAGUUGUUAAGUACCCACAAUGGGUUGCCAACAUUGUACUAAUACCAAAAAAGAAUGGAAAAGUCCGCAUGUGCGUUGACUACCAAGACUUAAACAGAGUUAGUCCCAAAGGCGAUUUCCCAUUACCUCACAUUGAUGUAUCGGUAGAUAACACAACUCAGUUCUCAGUAUUUUCCUUCAUGGAUGGUUUCUCCGGGUAUAACCAAAUUAAAAUGGAUCCAGAGGACAUGGAGAAAACUACAUUCAUCACCCCUUGGGGUACCUUCUGUUACAAGGUAAUGCCAUUCAGAUUGAAAAAUGCAGGGGCAACAUAUUAGCAUGCCAUGGUGACUCUCUUUCAUGACAUGAUUCAUAAAGAGAUUGAAGUGUAUGUCGAUGAUAUGAUUGCCAAAUCCUAAACAGAAGAAGAGCGCAUCACUAACCCGAAGAAGCUAUUUGCUCGGAUAAGGAAGUUUAUGUUGAGACUUAACCCUAACAAAUGCACAUUUGGGGUUCAAUUUGGGAAGCUUUUAGGCUUUGUUGUAAGCCAGAAAGGAAUUGAAGUGGAUCCUGACAAGGUCAGAGCUAUUCAGAACAUGCCUGCGCCGAAAACUAGAAAGAGGUUCGCGGUUUCUUGGGAAGGAUGAACUACAUCGCCAGAUUUAUCUCUCAUCUCACUGCCACAUGCAAACCAAUAUUUAAGCUCCUAAGGAAAAAUCAAGAAGUGGAGUGGAAUGAUGACUGCCAAACAACCUUUGACAAAAUCAAAGAAUACUUACAAGAACCACCAAUUUUAAUGCCGCCGGCUCAGGGAAGACCUCUCAUCAUGUACUUAAUAGUACUCGAUGAAUCUAUGGGUUGUGUGUUGGGACAACAAGUCGAGACUGGUAAAAAAGAGCAUGCCAUCUAUUAUCUGAGAAAGAAGUUUAAUGAUUGUGAGACCAAAUAUUCAUUGCUAGAAAAGACUUGUUAUGCACUCGCGUGGGCCGCUAAGCGUCUCAGACAAUACAUGCUGACACAUACGACUUGGUUGAUAUCCAAAAUAGAUCCCAUUAAGUACAUAUUCGAGAAACCAGCUCUUACCGGAAAAAUUGCCCGAUGGAAGAUGUUGUUAUCUGAGUAUGAUAUCCAAUAUGUUGCACAAAAGGCCAUCAAGGGGAGUGUACUAGCAGAUCAUCUUGCUCACCAACCGAUAGAGGAUUACCAACCUUUGAAGUUUGACUUCCCAGACGAGGACAUCAUGGUUGUCAAAGACUCAGAAACCCCUGAGGGACCUGAACUAGUUGAACAGUGGACUCUCAUGUUCGACGAUGCUUCAAACGCUAUAGGUCAUGGGAUUGGGGCAGUGUUGAUGUCUCCCAAGAAUUUUCAUGUACCAUUCAUUGCAAAGCUUUUCUUCCCAUGCACGAACAAUAUGUAUGAGUAUGAAGCCUGCAUAUUGGGGCUAGAGGAAACUAUUGAGUUAAAAAUAAAAAUCCUGGAGGUAUUCAGAGAUUCCGCUUUAGUGAUACACCAAAUCAGAGGUGAUUGGGAAACGAGACAUGCUAAACUAAUUCCGUAUCGAGAUUAUGUGUUAAAGUUACUCCCAAAAUUUGACAAAAUUACUUCAACUCAUAUUCCUCGAGAAGAGAAUCAGAUGGCAGAUGCUCUAGAAACUUUGGCCUCCAUGUACAAGUUAAUAUGGCCUAACCAUCAGCCUAAUAUUGAAGUCAGGCGGUUUGACGAACCUGCUCAUUGUCUGACGAUAGCAGAAGAGUCGGAUGACAAACCCUGGUUCUUCAACAUCAAAUAUUAUCUGGAAAAACAAGAAUACUCGGAAGAGGCUUCCAGCCUUGACAAGAGGACUAUACGGAGGUUGGUGUCGAAGUUCUUCUUGAAUGGGGAUGUGUUGUACAAGCGAAAUUAUGACAUGGUCCUACUAAGAUGCAUGGGCAAACAUGAAGCUAAUCAGCUUAUGAAGGAUAUACACGAAGGAUCCUUUGGCACCCAUGCAAAUGGGCAUGCGAUGGCAAAGAAAAUCCUGAGGGCCGGUUACUACUGGUUAACAAUGGAAAGUGACUGUUAUCAUUACACUAGAACAUGUUACAAAUGCCAAAUCUACGCCGAUAAAGUGCAUGUACCGCCUAUUUCGCUAAAUGUUAUAGCAUCACCCUGGCCUUUCUCUAUGUGGGGAAUUGACAUGAUCGGAAUGAUAAAACCCAAAGCAUCUAAUGGACAUAGGUUUAUCUUGGUGGCCAUAGACUACUUCACCAAAUGGGUCGAAGCCGCAUCCUAUGCGAAUGUCACAAAGCAUGUAGUCACUCGUUUUUUAAAGAAUAGUAUCAUAUGUCGAUACGGGGUUCCUAGCAAAAUCAUCACUGAUAACGGGUCCAACCUCAACAACAAGACCAUGGAAGAGUUGUGUGCAACAUUCAAAAUCGAACACUAUAACUCGUCACCAUAUCGGCCCAAGAUGAACGGGGUUGUUGAAGCUGCGAACAAAAAUAUCAACAAAAUUAUUCAGAUGAUUGUACUUACGUAUAAGGAUUGGCAUGAAAUGCUACCUUUUGUGUUGCAUGAUUAUCAUACAUCAGUGUGUACUUCAACAGGGGCAACCCCUUAUUCCUUGGUUUAUGGUAUGGAAGCAGUCCUCCCUAUAGAAGGGGAGAUCCCCUCGAUGAGAGUCUUGAUGGAGGCUAAGUUAGACGAGACAGAAUGGGUUCAAGCAAGGUUCGAUGAGCUCAACCUUAUUGAAGAGAAGCGCUUAAAAGCGUUACGUCACGAUCAACUCUAUCAGAGGCGUCUUAAGAAGGCAUUCGACAAGAAAGUCUGUCCUAGGGUAUUCCAAGAAGGAGAUUUGGUGUUGAAGAAAAUCUUGCCCGUUCACAAGGAUUUUAGGGGAAAGUGGACACAAAAUUAUGAAGUUCCAUUUGUGGUGGUUAGAUCCUUUUCCGGAGGCGCUCUAAUCCUUGCGACUAUGGACAGUGAUGAAUUUCCACUUCUCACAAAUGCCGAUGCAGUUAAAAAGUACUUUGCCUAAAAAAGUGGAAUAAUAAAGGCCGCUAAAUCAAAAAUCUGAAAGGGCGAUUUAGGCAAAAAUGGCUAUCCUGGUGGAUCGAAAACCCGAAAGGGCGGUCUAGGAAAAAAUUAGGGAUAAAAAUAAAAAUUCUGCUCGCUGAGUUGAAAACCCGAAAGGGCGACUCAGGCAAAAAUGGGUAUCCUGGUGGAUCGAAAACCCGAAAGGGUGAUCUAGGCAAAAAUUAAGGAUUAAUUCCAAGGCAAAGAACUGCACUUUCAUGCAUUUAUCGUACCCCUGAAGGCGAAGAAUCAACCUACCUGACUUUUUUGGAGGCAAGGUGCUUGGACCGUCAAAGACAUAAGGAUUAUAACAGUGUUGAAACUCAAUGGAAACUCAAUUUUUAUUGCCAUUAUGUCUUUAUACAUAACAAUUACCUUAUUAAGGAAUUGCAUCUUUAUGUACAAUUGCCCAUUCAAGGGUCAAGUCAAUAAAAAGAGAAUUUUUCUCAUCACAGUUGUGCCCAAAUUAUUUUGUAUUUUAUCUGUUUGUUUGGAAAACACAUUUAUUUUUGAUAAACACCAUUCUUAAAAUUUUGGAGAAAAUAAAACACGUAUUUGAACAAAAUGAUAAAAUUACUCUCGAGAUAUUAAGAAGGGGAGACUCAUAGCCUCCAAAGUUUGUUCUUAUUGCAUAAAGAUGUAAGAUCAUUCGUAGACAACCAUGGUCAUUCCAAUUGCUAACCAGUUCAAUUCCUUUUAAGAAUGUACUCAGGUGUGGCCUAUCACCAGCAAGUCUCUAGUGCAAUUCUGGCAAAAGAAUUAAUAAAUUGUGGCGUAGUUGAAGUAUCGAGUGUUGAAAGGUGUGAACCCUUCAAUAGCUUGGAAUGCCCAAAUAUAUUUCCAAUUACCCAAAGGGGUAUCAGAGUUUAAUUUCCAUUUGGUCUCCCCGACAACAGAAAGUCCAUACUAUUAGCAUCAUCAUCAAGACGAAACUCCUUAACUGGGGAAAAAAACCCUUUGUCUUCAAGGAGGGAGGGCAACUUCAAAAAGGGCAUACCCAAUUGUAGCACCUCAAAUUUGCACCCUACCAUUUUGUACAUUCAUUUCAUAUUAGGUCAUAACACAAUGUAGUCCAUUGCAUAGCAUUGCAUAGCCAUUUGCCCAAGUGCAAGUUCAACUGACAAAUUAGAUGUAGCACCUCAAAUUUGCACCCUACCAUUUUGUACAUUCAUUUCAUAUUAGGUCAUAACACAAUGUAGUCCAUUGCAUAGCAUUGCAUAGCCAUUUGCCCAAGUGCAAGUUCAACUGACAAAUUAGGUCAACUGAUCAGGGGAAUCAGUCAAACAAGCAAGCAAGUGCCAUUGCCAUUGAGACAAAGCUCUAGGGUUGUUUUAUCAAGUUCAUAUGGUCUAAGGAUCAUUGUGAAGUGAUUUGGCCAAGGAUGGGAUGAUCAAAGCUCAACAGUCAAGCUGAAUGUCCUCUGAAACCCAUAAAAGUCAACUGUAAGUCAACCGAGGGCUAGGAGGUGGAGAGAUGGGUUGAGACGCUUCCUUCAUGUCCCAAAGAAGUUCAUUUGUCAUUACAAAUACUUAUCUUGAAGAAUUUGAGGUUAGAAAUCAUUUCGUUCUUUUCUCGAAUUAAUCUUGGAAAUUCAAGUUGAGUUGGAUGAUCCGAGUUGAUUACUGAAAAGUUGAUUUGGUUGUGGAAAUUUAAUCAUGAUUGCAUUGAGCCCAUUCUUUCCUUUUUUGUUAAGCCCAUAAGUUUGGUCCAUUAACCAUUUUCCAAAUUAAUCCAUGUUUCUAAACAAUUUUUAAAUCCACAUCAAUCCAAUUUCAUUUUGUUAUCCAUUCAUCAAUUUAAUAAUCCAUUUCCUUUUUUCCAUAAACCAUUCACUAAUCCAUUUUACUCAUAUCCAUUUCAAAUCCAAUUCAAUUUCAUUGUUAAUAUCAUCAAUCCAAUUUCAUUUUGUUAUCCAUUCAUCAAUUUAAUAAUCCAUUUCCUUUUUUCCAUAAACCAUUCACUAAUCCAUUUUACUCAUAUCCAUUUCAAAUCCAAUUCAAUUUCAUUGUUAAUAUCAAAGUUUAUUCAUCCAAAUCAUCAUCCAAUCAACCCAUAUUUCAUUUUAUUAAACCAACUCACCAUUAUCCAAACCAUUUUUGCAUUUGAUAAAAAUUCUGCAUUAUAAAAUUCUGCACUGCAUUACAAAUUCUGCAUUGCAUUCAACAAAAUUAUGCACUAAAAAAAUUCUGCAUUGCAUUUACAAAUUCUGCAUAAUCAAAAUAUAAAAUUCUACAUAAAAUGAGAAACAAAAUUCUGCAUAAAACUGUUAUAAAAAUUCUGCAUUAUAAAAAUUCUGCAUUAAAAUCAAAACAAAAUUCUGCAUAAAAUCCAAAUGAAAAUUCUGCAUAAAAGGAAAAUAUGGAAAAGUUGCAACGCAAAAACGCACAGCAUUACGGUAACGCCGGCAAUAAAAAACCAUUUUUAACCUUCAACAAAAGUCCUGCAAACAGAAAUUGACAGUUUCAAUUAAAAACUGCAACUAACAGUGAACCUGCAUAAUUUCACAGAAGAAAUAACAAAUCCAAUAACAGAAUUUUCUUCUAACAAAUUUCUUCUAACCUCUCAUCACUCUAUAAAAGCAAUUCAUCUCUUUUCAUCCAGUUUUUUCCUCGAUUCAAUUCUUCUUCAAUCUUCACUUCUCAAACUUCCAGAUUCUUCAACCUCAUCAUAAACUUCUUCUUCUUCAACACAAACUCUCAACCUUCAACCAUUGCAAAUCCGUAACCGUAACGGUAAUCUCCACCUUCACCAAACCUUCAACCACUGCGAAUCCAUCCAAGAAUUCCUCUUCAAAACCUUCAACCAUCGUAACCGUAACCGUUUUUCAAUUCACAAUCACCUUCAUCAAAAACUCUCUUCCAAUUCUUCAACCUCACCUGCAACAACCUCCAUCAUCACGGUGAGAACUCACCAACGACCAUCGAACCUUCUUCCAUCAUCAUCUUCGUUCGAGCCUAUUUCUCCGUCGCGCCACCUUAGUGUUUCGAUUCUUGCAAGUAGAAACCGAACCGCUAUCACGAUUCCACACCGCAACCACACAAGAACUGCGUCACCUUCCUUAGAUUCUUCAUCCUUCAACGUUGUCUUCCUCACGAUUCAAGGAUAGUUUUGUUCUCUUCGUCUUCAGUUCCACGCGACGAGCACAAAUCCGACUCUUUCUCCGCACACCACGCGACUCCGGUACGAUUUUAUCCUUCAAUUGAUUUCAUUCCCCGCGUAAGAGUGAACCGUUGAAUAAUUUUAAUCUUGAUUGACCGCGGUUCGGGGACGAGUGAACACGGAUUCAGAGUUGUGUUCUUGAGAUUCUUCACGAGAGGAUCAAUUCACGUUCACGAUUCUUCAUUUCCUUAGCGACUCUGUGAGAUUAUGGUGGAGUCGAUCAAGUCGUCUGCUUCCACGUUGAGUCGCGGUGAAGAGGAUGGCAUCGCGUUCGCGAGAGAGGUGUGGCUGAGCGUUUGGAUUCUUUAGCGUGAUCUAUUUCUUCUCAGGGAUGAAUUUGGAUGUGAGGCUCCAGGCUUGGGCUUUUUGCCCCAAACAUUUCAUAAGCCCAAAGCGAUUUGGCUGUGCACUCUCCUUGGCCUGUUGUACCCCCUACGAGUGGGCCUUCCACUCCACAUCCCAGGCUCAUUCCCCUCAUUUUCAGGUUUUUUGGUUUUGUUAAUUAGCUGUUAAACACAAUCUAAAUUAGUUAUAGGAAUUGAUUAGGACAUAUUAGGAUUAACUUGUAUUUGUUAGAGUUAAUUUAGGUUAAUUAGUUUAGUUUGGAAUUUUAGAGUUAAUUAGUCAUUAGAUUAGCUUAAUUUUAGGAUUAGGGGUUACUUAGAAGAUAUUAGAAACUUUUAGAAGCUAAUUAGAAAUUAAUGAUUAGAAAUAAUUUUAGGAGUAGAAUAUAUUGAGAAAUACGGUUAGAAUUAGCUUAAUUUUAGGAUUAGUCUAAAUAGAGUUGAGAAGCUAAUUAGAAAUUUUAGUUGAUAAUAGAAGUCAUUAGAAACAUUAAUUUUAGGAUUAAUUGUGGAAACAUAAAAAAUUGAUUUUAGAAUUAGUUAAUUAGAAUUAGUAAUUUUGGAUUAAUUUUAGAGAUAGGAUAAUAUGUUGAUUUAGAAUUAAUUUUAGAAUUGUCUAAUAGAUUUUUAGAAAUAAUUAGAGAUAUUAGGAGUAAAUAAUUUUAGGAUUAGGGUUAAAUAAUCUCUUAGGAGUUUUGUUUGGAAAUAUUAAAAUGAGUGUAGGAUUUGAUUUGAUUUAAAUAAAGCUUAGAAUAGAAAUUUACUAUUGACCAUAACCGUGAAAUGACUAUUCUACCCCUAGGCUUAGAAAUAAUACAAUCUUGCAUGCUCCCUUAAUUUUAGGACAUGUUAUCUCUUGAUUAAAGGAAUUUCAUGUGGAGUUUGAGCUUCCGUUUUGGAUUUUUGUUCCUCUUUGACCCUAGUCUUGGACUAGUGGUUUGUGAUCUCACUUUUGAGUUGUGUUUCAGGUUAAUAGCACAAAUGGCCUAUGCUUGAUGAUGUGCCUCCAUUGGAGUUGACUUGUGGAUUGUAUAUAGCUGAUUUUGACUUCAUUUUGCAGGGUUUGACACUUGAGUUUGAGCCUUAAUAGCUUGCACCUUUGUGCAUUGGCUUGUGUUUGUCUGUAUAUAGCUAACUGUGAAACAUUUGCUGUUUAGUCUUGUGAUUAGUUUACUGAUUGUACUUGNAAGAGAGAUUAGGAAUUCAUGUGGUAGUUUGAUGCUCGCGUUUUUGGAUUUCUAUGUUCCUCUUUAGACCCUUUAGUCAUUUGAGAGCUAGUGCGAUUUGUGUGAUUCUCGAGCGUGUUUUGAGUUGGGUGUUCAGGCGUUGACGAGUAGGCACCACAGUGGCCAUCAUACCUCGCUUUGAUGAUACUGUGCCGCUCGUCCUCGCAUCGUGGAGUGUGAGCCUUGCAAUGGGAAUAUGAGUAUAUGUAUCCGUCGAUUUUUGCACUGCUUAUGUACGUUUUUCGGGGUGGCAGGGUUUGACACUAGUGCAGUCUUGAGGCCUUAAUAAGCCUUGCAAUUGUCCGGCGGACACCAAGUUGGUUGCGGCACUCUGGCUCUGGCCUGUUCAUCGUCCGUCGCCUCUACUAUCCUACCGGAGCGCUAACUGUAGAAACAUUAAUGCUACGAGUGUUAGAGAGUUCUUCGAUGAGUAGCUUUUAGUCUUGAAUAUGUAACUUGAUUGAUCUGUGCAGGUACUAGCGUUCCUUAGUAUGCUAUCGCUAAGAUUGUGCGUUGCUGUAGUGACAUUCGAAUGUUAACGUGCAUGCAAUUGAGGGUAUGUUAUUUUGACUCAUCUUCUCCUGCAAUCGUCAGUACUGGUAUACUGACUACGCUGGCUCUGCUCGGUGUUACUUGUCGGGCUCAGGUUCGCAACUGUCCUGCAGAGUCCCGCUCUCUCGGGGGCAACUGCUUUGUAGACCUGGUUUAAGCCCUUUGCUCACCAUAAGGUUUCAGCCGUAACAGGUACCUUGGAUGCUAAGAUCGCAAUUAGUAUCGGUAAGUUCAUAGCUAGAAUAUGCUGCAACUCUGAUCCUCCCCCACUAUUCUCUGCAUUGAGUCCGGUUGCCCUUCUGCGUUCACGACUAGCUCUGUUCUUUGACCUUACGCAUAUGACGGUACAGGUCAUGGUAACGCCAAAGGUGAUCUUUUGGUACAUUGUACAAUUCGUAAUGUGAUCUAUGUUCUUUUGACGCCGUAGAAAGGGUCCCUCUCCACAUUCCUUGGACCCGCACGGGCUCUUAGCUUCGCUCUGAUUCGCUUUCAUCUGCUUGGACGUCAGGGGAUACAGAGACUGCUGCAGUGCACACGCCCCUGCACUCAUGCUUUUCAUCAGCUUCACCUUAGCCGCGCUCAAUGGCCAAGGUUAUAGAGCUAACUCUUUAUCGCCGGAGUACCACGAGGCUUCGUGUGCUCGGGUACGGAUUGAGUAUGACCCUCCCUUCGAGAUCCUAAGCCAUAGCCUGAUGUAUUGAGCGCCCUCCUUGUUGGUGUGUCUUAUUUGCAUGCUUAUAGUUGGGUGUGGUCAUGUUGAUUUGCCUACCCUCCCGAGGGUUUGCUAAGACUGCCGUGCGUUAGUCUCGUCUUGCAUGACAAAUCCAAGGUAGCGGUACGGUCCUUCGUCAUAAGACUUCCUGUUCUUGCUUGAAGCUUUCUCUAAAACACCAAACAAACACUGCCUCCUCUUAAGGAUAUGGGGGCACGUCACGCCUUCUAACUACAUGGUGAGUAAGUCUCCAAAAUGUCGAAGCAAUCCGGUAGAUCUGCGUAGUGACGUUGUCAUGCCACUUAAAAAACACGAGGAAGCGUGCGGAGAGCAGGGUAAGAGUCUAGGUCCGGAAGGCUGAAGGGGCGACAACGUCUGAUUCUCAUGUCCAGAUUAGAGAUAUACGUAGGCACCGAAGAUCGAUGUUCUUUGUCGAGUUGACUAACAACAUAACACUAAUAUCUUUCUCUCGCCCUUCGUUCGUGAGACCUCCCCUAUUCUCAUUGCCACCUACCCUUGGCAACCUCGCACCGACACCCUCCUCCUUCCCAGCCUGGCCUGCUCCUCUGUUGUUGCUUGUUUGUCCGCUCGGACAGCACCUGCACUGCAAGCUCCCACCUCCGAGUGGCAUCCGGUUCCCACCUGUGCGCGGCGUUACUGGCUCGGCACUGCUGAUCUGUAUAGUCUCAGUGAUUUGAGCGAUUCGCGGCGCCACGUUGACCCUAUCUCUGCGUAGUCGGUAUAUGAGUUCGGAUGAAACGUAAGUCCAGUGCAAUGCAGUACGGCUGCCCUGUUGCCUUCUAUGGUUGUGAUUUGGGAUAUCCGAGAUGCUGAUUAAGCCCAGUCGAUCGCAUUCAACGCGACUCCAAUUUACGCCUAAUGUUCGCAGACGCGCGAAAAAACGACCUGACGGAUAAGAAGACAACCACAAGAGCCGCGCACACUCUGGGGGAUCAGGGUGCGUAUAUUAUCCGCAAAAGAGGGAAAGCGAUAAACGACAUACAGCAGUAAAACCCAGGAAAGAAACAUGGUCCUCCGCAGACUCCAAAGAAGCUGGAUCGGGUAGUCGGUUAUUGCCCGAAGGGAUCAGCGUCAUCAGCACGCCCUACGACUACCGCCGUACUUCGAUAGAUUCCACCGCACCACCCAUAGAAGGCAAAAUGGUUUCUAUAGCCACACUGCUCACACACAACACUGGCUGGAAGGAGACACUACAGAACUGACGAUAACUGGAGUCGGCUGGAUAUCGCAUCCUGGCCGUACUUAGCUCCUACUCAGCGGCCAGAGACAUCCAGAGGCGAAAUAGUUCGGACUGGGGAAAAACAUGCUCGCAUGGCAUCGCACCCUAUGAUCAUACGUACUGCUCUGCGACGAGAGAAGAAUCAAUAGCAAUGCCGCCGCCCCUCGUCAGCUCGCUGACCACGCCGCACACCAAACAAAACACCACGGCCAAAAGCAACACCGCUCGGAGCCCCUGACACUGGCCUAACUCACUGACUCCCAAUCAGCUCCGAACAAAACACACGCACACUGGAACCCCGAAUGCGCAUCCGAUGACUUACAUCAGCUUCCAUAAACCAGCAACAGCAUCCCCCGAGUGACACUAAGCGGGUUAAGAAACAAAGGUGAAUAAGAAAAAAGGCCCCGGAAGAUUCAGCCCAAUUCAUCUGCCGUUACAUACCAUCUGGUAUAAAAUCAGGGCACUGUAGUUCCCCUUACACGCAGGGAGACAAAGACUAGCCUAACAGAUAAAGAGGGACAGACACCCUAACACCUAGCCCGGAGACGACGGACGUGGCGCGACGUCUAAUGGGUAGCAAAAUCGCUAAGUUAAGGCACUAGCUAACUGCACACAGCGAAGCAAGCCUACCUAAACCAUGACACGCACAGGAAGCAAGUCCACAACACAAACAACUCCAACUGCACAGAAAGCAAGCCAAGCAAACCAACUUGCACAGGAAGCAAGCUCUACAACUACGCUAACUGCAACAGGAACAAGAAAGGCCGAUUCAACGCUAGGGCAAAAAAGCGGAGGUCUCAAUCGCAACGAGGGCGAGAGAAAAGAGUUAGUGUUAGUUGUUAGUCAAACUCGACAAGACAUCGCAUCUCGUGCCUACGUAUCUCAUCUGAACAUGAGAAUCAGAGUUGCCGUAGUUCGGCCACGGAGGGAAAAGGACUCAAUUGCAACUAGUGGCAAGAGAAAGGGAAAGUCUCGAUCGCAACGAGGGCGAAAGCAAACAAGGAUUAGUCUAAACUAAACCUAACUUGCACGGGAAGCAAGUCAAACAAACAUACAAGCACAAGUAGCACACACUAUAUACACACAAGAGGCUCACACAAGGGUUAGGUUUUAGUCGAGGGGUCAUGUCAACCUCAACAAACAAACCUCUGGAACUGGGUAGAUGGUGCUCUUAACCUUGACAUUGAGAGCCAAGGUGAAGCAGAUGAAAGGAGAUGAGGGGUGUGCCUCAUUGCUCUUGUCCCUGGCCAGGGAGAGCAUUUGACAAGAAUGUGUGGGUUCAGAAAGUGGGAACCCUUCUACACAUUUGAUACUGACUCAACUGUACAAUUGCACAAGAUCUUGGGUUUUUAUUUGUAAUGUAUCAACACAGUGGUGUGAGCAAAACAGAAGACACACUGAAUAGCAGGGGAUAGGUUGCUUAUCCCUUGGUUCUGCCAAUUGCCUCUUCACUUAGGAGGUCUUUGACUCUGUACAAGGACAAAUUAAACAUACACAAACAUUGCCUCUUAAGGAGGACUUCAGACAGUUGCCUGGCCAAGUAACAGGCCAGGUCUUCCAGACUACAUGAAGAAAAAGGAAUUAUACCUCAAGCAAGUUGCUAAAUAGCAAAGCAAAGCAAGUUCAAAGAACUUAAGCAACUAANNNNNNNNNNNNNNNNNNNNNNNNNNNNNNNNNNNNNNNNNNNNNNNNNNNNNNNNNNNNNNNNNNNNNNNNNNNNNNNNNNNNNNNNNNNNNNNNNNNNNNNNNNNNNNNNNNNNNNNNNNNNNNNNNNNNNNNNNNNNNNNNNNNNNNNNNNNNNNNNNNNNNNNNNNNNNNNNNNNNNNNNNNNNNNNNNNNNNNNNNNNNNNNNNNNNNNNNNNNNNNNNNNNNNNNNNNNNNNNNNNNNNNNNNNNNNNNNNNNNNNNNNNNNNNNNNNNNNNNNNNNNNNNNNNNNNNNNNNNNNNNNNNNNNNNNNNNNNNNNNNNNNNNNNNNNNNNNNNNNNNNNNNNNNNNNNNNNNNNNNNNNNNNNNNNNNNNNNNNNNNNNNNNNNNNNNNNNNNNNNNNNNNNNNNNNNNNNNNNNNNNNNNNNNNNNNNNNNNNNNNNNNNNNNNNNNNNNNNNNNNNNNNNNNNNNNNNNNNNNNNNNNNNNNNNNNNNNNNNNNNNNNNNNNNNNNNNNNNNNNNNNNNNNNNNNNNNNNNNNNNNNNNNNNNNNNNNNNNNNNNNNNNNNNNNNNNNNNNNNNNNNNNNNNNNNNNNNNNNNNNNNNNNNNNNNNNNNNNNNNNNNNNNNNNNNNNNNNNNNNNNNNNNNNNNNNNNNNNNNNNNNNNNNNNNNNNNNNNNNNNNNNNNNNNNNNNNNNNNNNNNNNNNNNNNNNNNNNNNNNNNNNNNNNNNNNNNNNNNNNNNNNNNNNNNNNNNNNNNNNNNNNNNNNNNNNNNNNNNNNNNNNNNNNNNNNNNNNNNNNNNNNNNNNNNNNNNNNNNNNNNNNNNNNNNNNNNNNNNNNNNNNNNNNNNNNNNNNNNNNNNNNNNNNNNNNNNNNNNNNNNNNNNNNNNNNNNNNNNNNNNNNNNNNNNNNNNNNNNNNNNNNNNNNNNNNNNNNNNNNNNNNNNNNNNNNNNNNNNNNNNNNNNNNNNNNNNNNNNNNNNNNNNNNNNNNNNNNNNNNNNNNNNNNNNNNNNNNNNNNNNNNNNNNNNNNNNNNNNNNNNNNNNNNNNNNNNNNNNNNNNNNNNNNNNNNNNNNNNNNNNNNNNNNNNNNNNNNNNNNNNNNNNNNNNNNNNNNNNNNNNNNNNNNNNNNNNNNNNNNNNNNNNNNNNNNNNNNNNNNNNNNNNNNNNNNNNNNNNNNNNNNNNNNNNNNNNNNNNNNNNNNNNNNNNNNNNNNNNNNNNNNNNNNNNNNNNNNNNNNNNNNNNNNNNNNNNNNNNNNNNNNNNNNNNNNNNNNNNNNNNNNNNNNNNNNNNNNNNNNNNNNNNNNNNNNNNNNNNNNNNNNNNNNNNNNNNNNNNNNNNNNNNNNNNNNNNNNNNNNNNNNNNNNNNNNNNNNNNNNNNNNNNNNNNNNNNNNNNNNNNNNNNNNNNNNNNNNNNNNNNNNNNNNNNNNNNNNNNNNNNNNNNNNNNNNNNNNNNNNNNNNNNNNNNNNNNNNCAAGCAAAUAAAGCAACUAAAGAGUACCUGAAAAAGUCAAACUUAUCAGUAAACAGUUCAACAGUUUAAAUCAGAAAGAAAGGGAUCAAACAGUUAGAUCAAUAAACAGAAGUGCAAAAGCACAAGACCCAACUAUAUGAAUCAUACCACCUACAAAAUAAAGGUUAGCACAUGAUAUAUAAUCAAACUCAACCAAAUUUGUAUGGUUUCUUUGAAGCAUUGAUGCUUAACCUGAAACAAUGAACUCAACAUAAGUCUAAAAGACCACUAGGACAAGCCUAGGGUCAAAAACAAAAGGGAAAGUCAAAACAGCAAACAAAUAGUCAACCAAAGUCAAGUUCAAGCAUUUAAGAAGCAAGCACAAUUGGAUUCAAACUCAUAUCAUGCAUCAUUAUCAUUUUAUAGACCAAAGAAGGCAAGGCAUGGCAAAUGAAAGCACACAAAAAGUCAACAGCAAGACCAAGCUCAAAAGCAAACAUAAUCAAUUCCAAAAAUUAUGAAAUAAUUCAUACUCAAUCACAAUCCAUAACAUAGCAUGCAUAUGAAAUUUCAGCUCAAUUGGAUCAUGGGAAGAUAGUCAAUUAAAAUCAGGAAGUCAACACAAUUUCAAAUGUGCACAAAGAAGUCAACAAAACAUGUGUCAUCUUCAAAAAAUCAUAACUAAAUGAAAACAGAUGAGAAAUGAAUGGGAUUAACACCAAUGCAAAGCUCAAGAUGUCUAGUAUGCCCAUGCAAAAUUUCAUGAUCAUACAAUAAGGCAUGAGAAUUUCCCAAAUGAAAUGGCAAGAUGUGUCACACAAAGUCAACAUUUGACUAGGCAGGGAAGAAAAAUCUCAAACAAUUAGGAAAUGGCAUAAUUAAUUCCAAGAAAAAUCACAAGUCAACUAGACAUGUGAAAUGAGGUUCAUGCAAAAUUUGGGGUCAAUUGGAGGCCAGGAAGCAUGUCAACAAAAUUCAUGAAUUUACACAUCCAUGGUGUGACACAAGUUGUCACACCCUACUUCAAAAAUUCAUAUCUCACAAACCACAUAUGAUAAAUGCACAAACUUUACAUCAAAAUGAACAUAAAUGAGUGUAGAUUAACCACAAAAAAUUUCAGGAUCAUUGGAUGCAUCAUCAUUAUUUCACAAAAGAAAUGGCAAAAGGUACAAGUUAAGCAUACAUGUCAAGAAACCUAGAGCCAAUAAAAAUCCAGCCAACCAAAAAUUCAAUAAAAAUCAUGACAAAAUAGUAGACAUUCAUGUGAACAUGAUGGAAAAAUUUCAUGAAUUUUGGAGUUGAUAUGAUGAUGUUAUGAUUUUUGUAAGAUGAUGAACAAUUUGAAAUAACAUGGACCAAAUAACAUGAAUGGAAAGUCAAACACGGUUGACCUGGUGGCAUUUUCGUGAUUAAUUCCCCUCAUUUAAACAACGCCGUUUACAGCCAGGAAAUGGAAUAUUUGAUUGUGUCCAUUCCAUAGAACAGUAACAUGAGCGUGAAAACAGAUUUUCUGGAAAAAAUGGCUAGGGUUUCUAACAGCAAUGCUAUUCUUCAUGUUCAUGCUCAUGGAAAAAACGAAUCUCAAAUAGAAAUAAGCAAACAGCAUGGCAAUGAAAUGGUUCAUGCAAUCACAAACAACAACAACAGCCAACAAGAAAUCUGGGAAAGAAACUAGGGUUUAUGCACUUAGGGUUUUAGCAGCAUAGCUUCAUCAUCAACAAUGAACCAUGAAAAUCAAAAUGCCCAGAACAAAAAUUUAAGCAUGGCAAUCGAAUCUACAAACAGCAAGCAUCAUAUAUCCAGCAAGCAUAAUCAUUAAAACACACCAACAAUCAAGAAUCGAGCAAAGACCUCAUGCAUCCAUAAACUUUAAAACAGCAUAUCUCAAGGAAUACUUGACCAUUUCGUGCAAUCCAAAGCUCAUUAAAAUCAGCAUAACAAGAGCUAUCUAAAACAUAGCAUGGCAUAGUAAACGGUUAAGGUCGAAAUCUAGAAAAAUGAAAACAGUGAUGGAUUGAUGUUGUUGUGCUGAAACAGCCGCAGGUCCAAGCUUGAAAUGAUGAAUGGAGAGUGGCUUGUAGCUCAAUAACCCUUGGAAAUACUCAGAUCGAGUUUUGCCAUUGUUGGAGCUUGGUGAAAACAGAACAUGAGAUGUUGUUACAGCAGCAAUUGGACAAAAAUGAGAGAGUGCAGAGUCUUUCUGGUUUUGUUUUAAUGGCUGCUGCUAGGGUUCAUUUUCUUGCAGAAGAAAUGAACUAUUUGUCUUGUUUUUAAGUCUGUAACAAAUACAUGCUAAUCAUUCAUCGUAUCCAAAGAAAACGCAAAGAGUUUGAGCAUCUGUGCUACAGGCUGUUUACCAAAUGGAAAGGAGGGUGUAUGGUUCUGUCCGAAUUGGGUUCGGAUCGUAUUUCAAAUAUCAACUUAAAUGAAUCCCAAUGCAAAGUGAGUAAGAGUUCACUAUUCAAAAGUCAACUUUGGUCCACUUGAAUUUUAAAUGGAACAAGUCAAAAAAUGCCAUUUUUGAUUGGCAAGGUUUUGGUACAUGAUAUUUAUAUUUUUGGAAAGGAGAUGAAAUGUGGUUUGUAGGAAAAAACCCCACUAAAUUUGGCCUUUUGGUUAUGAGAUAUGGCUUGUUCGAAAUUCAAAAAAUGUGAAAAUUGAAUUGAUCAUAUCUUGCAAACCAUUCAUGGGAAUUUGGGUGUUCUUGACUUUUGAAAAUGGGAGAACAAGAUCUUUCAACUUUCAUGUUGGGCAAAAAAUUCAUUUGAAGCUUGUAGUCAUGAUGCAUAGUUGAGGAUCAAGAAGUUUCCAUNNNNNNNNNNNNNNNNNNNNNNNNNNNNNNNNNNNNNNNNNNNNNNNNNNNNNNNNNNNNNNNNNNNNNNNNNNNNNNNNNNNNNNNNNNNNNNNNNNNNNNNNNNNNNNNNNNNNNNNNNNNNNNNNNNNNNNNNNNNNNNNNNNNNNNNNNNNNNNNNNNNNNNNNNNNNNNNNNNNNNNNNNNNNNNNNNNNNNNNNNNNNNNCGCAGGAAUGAACUUUGGAAAUGGCUCACAAGCAGAUGAUAUGUGAGGGUGCCAAGUGCUCGUGGUCUUUGAGUUUUAUUCGAAAUGCCAAAAUGUGCAAUUGGCAAAAAUGGAGGAGUGAGAGUUUUCUGGUUUUGUUUUAUGGCUGCUGCUAGGGUUCAUUUCUGCAGAAAAUGAACUAUUUGAUCUUCUGUUUUUAAGUCUGUAAUCAAAUGCUAAUCAUCAUGUAUCCCGAAGAAACCAAAACUUGACAUUUGCUAGCUUUUACCAAAUGGAAAGGAGGUGUAGUUCUGUCCGAAUUGGGUUGCGAAUGUUUUCAAAUAUCAACUUAAAUGAAUCCCAAUGGCAAAGUGAGUAAAGUUCAUAUUCAAAAGUCAACUUUGGUCCACUUUGAAUUUUAAAUGGACAAAGUCAAAAAUGCCAUUUUUGAUUGGCAAGGUUUUGGUACAUGAUAUUUAUAUUUUUGGAAAGGAGAUGAAAUGUGGUUUGUAGAAAAAACCCCACAAUUUGGCCUUUUGGUUCAUGAGAUAUGGCUUGUUGAAAUUCAAAAAAUGUGAAAAUGAAUUGAUCAUAUCUUGCAACAUUCAUGGGAAUUUGAGGUUCUUGGACUUUUGAAAAUGGGAGACAAGAUCUUCAACUUUCAUGUUGGGCAAAAUUCAUUUGAAGGCUUGUAUCUGAGAAGUUGGAUCAAAGUUUCCAUUUUGCAGUGAAUUAAGUCCAUUUUUUUGGAAAUUUUCUGAUUGCUUCAAUUCUUCAAUGAUGUUGAUUGCCAUGGUAAUGAGGCUCUUGGAUCCUCUCUUCCAUUUUUGGCAGUUGAAAUUACAGGUCCAGUUUCUAUUUUUGGAAAUUUUCUGAUUGGCUUCAAAUUCUUCAAUGAUGUUGAUUGCCAUGAUAUAUGAGGCCUAUUGGGACAUGAAUAAGCUCUCUCAAACAAAAUCCAUCCAUCAAAACCACAAAAUCAACCACAGUUGACCAACUUUGACUUUCUAGGGUUUUUGACUGUCUGUGCAUGAACUGAUGACUUCUGAACAUCCAACCCUUGACUUAAACACUUCAAAUGGACCUCCAAGAUAUGUGAACUUGUUGAAACAACCCUAGGGCCUUGGCUCCUUGAGAAACACCCUUGCUUGCUUGGUUGACUGAUCUCCUGAUCAGUUUGACCUAAUUCUUGAUUUGCUUGCUCUUGAGGCAACUGGGACAAUGCAAUGCUAUGCAGUGGACUAUGAUAUGCUAUGACCUAAUAUGAAAAUGUAUGUACAAUGGUAAGUGCAAAUUUGAGGUGCUACAGCUUUGCCUGUGUUUGUUUGUGUGCGUGUCAGCCGAGCUACGAAUGCUCUGAUUCUUCUUCGUCUAAGAAGAUACGUAUGCAUAGGAUGCGACAUCCUAGCGAGCAUGUGUUGUUUCCCCGGUCCGAAUACUUAGACUCUGAUGUCUAGCUGAGUAACUAAGUAGGCCAGGGAUCGACAUAUCGCCAGUCGGUUUCAGGCUGUUUCUAUUGCCUCUUUCGAGCCAGUGUGAGGUGUGUGAGGCAGUGUAUUAGCAACCAUUUUCCUUCUAUUGGCGUGGAUCCGUCGGUAGAGAUGCGUAGGGCUAAUACCUUCCCUUCGCAUAACCGACUCCCGAUCCCAUUCUCUUUGGUCGCGAGACCAUGCUUUUUCCAGGUUUACUCUGAGCGUUUCCUUUCUCUCUUUUGGGAUAAAUAACGCACGGUGGCGGCUCUGUUAUUCUUGUUUUCCCGCCGGUUUUUCGCGUAAUGCGACAGCUGGCGACUCUGCUGGGGACCUAAGAGAAGUUGACCUGUGCUGGUCCUUCUUCCCUAAGCGAGUCUCUCCUAGCGCUCUCUAGGUUAGGGCUUUGGUUGCUUUGUGUUGUUAUUUAUUGCAUUCAUUGUAUAUAUGUACAUUUAUUGUUUGCAUUUAUGGUGUGCAUUAAUGUUUGCAUUCAUUCAUUUCAUCUGCUGUGCUGGCUGUGUUUCUCUGAUUGGGGGUGGGAAUUCUAUGAGGUAAAAGGCCCAAUACCCAGGCUAUGAGUGCAAUUUAGGAAACCUAGGAAUAGAGUGAUUCAUGGGAAGCGGGUGGUGUACGCCACUUAGCGGAACAUUGAUAUCACGAGCAGUUCAGACUCUGAUGGGGUAUUAUCGGUGCAUACAUCUGGUGUGCACAGGAUGAUAUUCUUGAAAGGGUUGUUUAUCCUGCGUUUCUCUCGACCUUACCCUGGCCUAGAUGACACCCGUGAGUGGGGAGGGAAUGAUCAUUUUAACAGGUACAGAUGGUGACCGAUGAUGACUGGUUGGUGACUCAGUGUUCCUGUUGGUGACUCAGUGUUCUCAGAUUGGGUUCAGACGACCGUUGACCAGUUGACUUUGGGUUUCAGAUGACUGUGAUCAGAGUUCGAGCCGAAGCUUCGAUCCUGUGUUCAGAGAAGCGCAGCUUGCCAGUCGUGUCUGCAUCAUGUGCAUCAUCGCAUGUUUAUUUUUCAAAAGAAAUGCAAUAAAAAUUUUGAAAAAAAAAUGAAGAAAAAUGAAAAAAGAGAAAAAGAAAAAACUAAUCCCUGCAUGCAUAUCCUUUCUCAGGUACAUUCCAGAGCCUGUUCACUGAUGGAUCCGGGUGCUCAUUUACAGAUGAAAUUAUUGGUUUCACUUGGUACUCAUUGCUCUUGUAUACUGUGCCGUUGCUGCAGAUUGCUAUCUUUCGAAGAUGAAUCAGGCUCCUUGAAUGCCUGAGAAAUGAUCAUUUCAUGUGCAUCAUAUGCAUUAGCGUCAUACUCAUACCAUCUUGCAUAACAGGUGUUCUUGUGCCGACUUCUCACUCAGGCAGGAUAGUUCUGAUCACGACUCACGGUAUUUCAACCAGACUCAACCAUCAAGAAGCAGUGGAUCAGGUAGACCGAGUUCGGCCUGAGAUGACGCGAACACGGGCCCAGUGGGUUGCUCAGGGUCAGGAGGAGCUCCGUGCUUUGGUUCAGAGACAGGAGACGGUCAUUCAGGCGUCUAACCGUGGUUCACCUAUUGCUCCACCUGGUUUUGAGACUGUUAAUGUUGCUGCUGCUCCCGUUCAUGGUUAUGUUACAGGAGAAGAACUCAGGGGGAUAAGAGUUGAUGGCCAGCCUCUUGCUGCAGAGGUCAAUGCUAGAGCUACCCGAGCUCCUGUUCGUCAUCCAGCUCCUUUUGUCGACAGACAAGAGGACAUGUUCAUGAUGCUGAGUGAAGAUGAUGAGGUGGUCAGAGUCGAGGAUAGGAAUCGCAAGGUUGAUGCCCUGGCUGAGAAGAUCCGUGCGAUGGAAUGCCAAAACUCCCUCAGAUUUGAUGUUACAAAUAUGGGGCUAGUAGAGGGUUUGAGGAUCCCGUACAAGUUCAAAGCACCCUCAUUCGAAAAGUACAACGGUACCUCCUGUCCUCGCACCCAUGUGCAAGCUUACUUCAGAAAGAUUUACGCAUACACUGAUGACGAGAAGAUGUGGAUGUACUUUUUCCAAGAUAGUCUAUCCGGGGCAUCUUUGGACUGGUACAUGGACCUGAGAAAAGAAUCAGUCAGGAGCUGGAAAGAUCUGGGUGAAGCCUUUCUGAGGCAAUACAAGCACAACANCAAUUGGACAAAAAUGAGAGAGUGCAGAGUCUUUCUGGUUUUGUUAAGUGGCUGCUGCAGGGUCAUUUCUGCAGAAGAAAUGACUAUUGUAGCUCUGUUUUUAAGUCUGAAACAAAACAUGCUAUAUCAUCCAUCGUAUCCGGAAAAAAGAAAACGCAGAGUGUUGAGACAUCCUGUGCUCAGGCUGUUUACCAAUGGAAAGGAGGUGAUUCUGUCCGAAGUUGUCGGACUGUAUUCAAAUAUCAACUAUAAAUGAUCCCAAUGCAGUAGUAAAGAAGUCACUAUUCAAAAAGUCAAACUUUGGUCGCACUUGAAUUUAAAUGGAACAAGUCCAAAAAUGCCGAUUUUUGAUUGGCAGGUUUUGGGAGGCUAUGAUAUUUAUAUUGUUUGGAAGAAGGAGAUGAAAUGUGGUUUGUAGGAAAAAACCCACUAAAAUUUGGCCUUUGAGAUCUAUGGAUAUGGCUUGUUCGAAAUUCAAAAAAUGUGAAAAUUGAAUUGAUCAUUAUUUAGCAAACCAUUCAUGGGAUUUUGGGUGUCUGACUUUUUGAAAAAUGGGAGAACAAGAUUUCAAACUUUAUGUUGGGCAAAAAAUUCAUGAAGCUUGUUCAUGAGUGCCAGUUGAGGAUCAAGAGUUGUCAUUUUUGGCAGUUCGAAAUUACCAGGUUCCAGUUUUCUAUUUUGGAAAUUUUCUGAUUGCUUCAAAUUCUUCAAUGAUGGUUGAUUGCCAUGAUAUAUGAGGCUCUAUUAGGACAUGAAUAAGCUCUCUCAAACAAAUCCAUCCAUCAACACAAAGUUCAACCAAGUUGACAACUUGACUUUCUAGGGUUUUUGACUGUCUGUGCAGGACUGAUGACUUCGAACCAUCAACCUUGACUUAAACAGCUUCAAAUUGGACCCUCCAAGAUAUGUGAACGCUUUGUUGAACAACCCUAGUGCCUUGGUCCUUGGAACACACUUCUUUGCUUAGGCUGACUGAUCUCCCUGAUCAGUUUGACGCUAAUCUCUUGAUUUGUUAGGCUUCCUCUGGAGAGGCAACUGGGACAAUGCAAAUGCUAUGCAGUGGACUAUGAUAUGCUAUGACCUAAUAUUGAAAAAUGUGAGUGUAACAAUGGAGUGCAAAUUGAGGUGCUACUACUUGCCUCUUGUGUGUUGUUUGUGUGCGUGUCAGCCGAGCCUACGAAUCUCUGAUUCUUCUCUGCUAAGAAGGAUACGUAUGAUAGGAUUGCGCGUCACUAGCGAGAUGUGUUGGUUUCCGGUCGAACUAUACUUAGACUCUGAUGUCUAGCUGAGUAGACUAAGUAGGCCAGGAUGACAUAUCUCGCCAGUCCAGUUUCAGUCUGUUUUCUUUGGCCUCUUCGAGCCAGUGGUGAGGUGGUGUGAUGGCAGUGUUUUAGCAACCAUUUUCCUUCUAUUAGUGCGUGGAUCCGUUCGAGUAGAGGAUGCGUAGGGGUGCUAAUAGCCUCCCUUCGCAAUCAAACCGACUCCCGAUCCCAUCUCUUGGUCGGCGAGACCAGCGUUUUCCCAGGUUUCACUCUGAGCGUUUCCUUUCCUCUCUUUUGGAUAUAAUAACGCCUGGGCAGGCCUGUUUAUUACUUGUUUCCGCGCGGUUUUUUCGCUUAAUGCGACAGCUGGCUGACUCCUCGCUGGGGACCUAAGAGAGUUGACCGUGCCUCGGUCCCUUCUUCCCUAAGCGGUCUCUCCUAGCGCUCCGUCUAACGGUUAUGCGGCUUUGGUGUCUUUGUGUUGUUAUUCUAUUGCUCAUUGUAUAUAUCGUACAUUUAUUGUUUGGCAUUAUGGUGGGCCAUGUAAUGUUUGCAUUCAUUCAUUCAUCUGCUGGCGAGCUGUGUUUCUUAUGGGGGUGGGAUCUAUGAGGUAAAGGCCCCAACCCAGGCUAUGAGUCGCAUUUAGGAACCUAAGGCAUACAGAGUGAUUCCAUGGGAAGCCCGGGUGGUUACGCUCACUUAGCGGAACUUAUUACACGAGCACGUUCAAGACUUCUGAUGGGGUAUUAUCGGUGGCAUACAUCUGGUGGUGCACAGGAUGAUAUUCUUGAAAGGGUUCGUUUAUCCUGCGUUCUCCGACCUUACCGCUGGCCUAGAUGACACCGUGAGUGGGGAGGAAUGAUAUUUGUAACAGUACGUGGUGACCGAUUGAUGACUGCGUUGGUGACUCAGUGCCUGUUGGUUGACUCAGGUGUUCUCAGAUGGGUUCAGGACGACGUGCCAGUUUGACUUUGCGGGUUUCAGAUGACUGUGAUCAGAGUUCGAGCCGAAGCUUCGACCUGGUGUUCAAGAGAGCAGUGCCAGUCGUGUUGCAUCAUUGUGCAUCAAUCGCGAUGUUUUAUCUUUUCAAAAGAAAUGCAAUAAAGAAGUUUUGAAAAAAAAAUGAAGGGAAAUGAAAAAGAGAAAAAGGAAAAAACUAUCCUGCAUGAUAUCCUUUCUCAGUACUUCAGAGGUGUCACGAGGAUCCGGUGCUCAUUUACACGAAAAUUAUUGGUGUGUCAUUGGUACUCAUUGCCUUGAUACUGUGCCGUUUGCCAGGAUUGCUAUCUUUCGAGAAGAUGAAUCAGGCUCCUGAAUGCCUGAUGACAUUCAUCAUUUCAUAGUGCAUCAUCUGUAGCGUUCAAUAUCUCAUACUCGUCUGCAUAACAGGGUGUUGCUUGUGCCGACUUCUCACUUCCGGGGUUUCCUGUGCAGGCAGGAUAGCUGACACGACCUCACGGUACAACCAAGACUCACCAUCAGAAGAAGUGGAUCAGUUCAGAACCGAGUUGGCUGAGAUGCGGGCCGAACACGGGCCCAGUCUCAGACCAAGAUGCUAAGGGUGUUCUCAGGGUCAGGGAGGGCUCCUGGUGCCUUGGUUCAGAGACAGGAGACAGGUCCAUUCAGGCGUCUAACGGGUUCACGACUAUGGUCUCCACCUGGUUUAUGGAGCUGUUAAUGUUGCGCCUGCUCCGCGUCAUGCUUUAUGUUACAGGAGAAAACUCAGGGGGAUAAGAGUGAUGCCGCCAGCGUCUUGCUGCAGGUCAAUGCUCGAGCUACCGAGCUCCUGUUGCUAUCCACCUGCUCUUUCGCGACAGACAAGAGAAUGUGAUGAUGCGAUGAGAUGAGAAGGUUGGUCAGAGUCGAGGAAGGAAUCGCAAGUUGAUGCCUGGCUGAGAAGAUCCGGCGAUGGAAUGCAAAACUCCUCGAUUUGAGUUACAAAUGCUAGUAGAGGGUUUGAGGAUCCCGACAAGUUCCAACACCCUCAUCGAAAAGUACACUACCUCCUGUCUCAGCACCAUGGUGCAGGCUUCUUCAGAAAGAUGUUACGCAUACAUGAUGACGAGAAGUAUGUGGAUGUACUUUUUCAAGAUAGUCUAUCGGGCAUCUUUGGACUGACAUGGACCUGAGAAAGAAUAGGUCAGGAGCUGAAAGAUCUGGUGAAGCCUUUCUGAGGCAUACAAGCCACUAACAUGGACAUGGCGCCGAGCCGAACCCAAUUGCAGAGUUUGUGUCAGAAAAUCCAAGCGAAGCUUCAAAGAAAUCCAAAGGUGGCUGUGAGCUAGCCGUAGAGUGCACAACCUCCUAUGCUGGAGAGAGAGCUGACUGACAUGUUCAUUGGGACCUUGCAAGGUGUGUUCAUGGACCGCAUGGGAAGUUGCCCGUUCAGUAGCUUUUCUGAUGUUGUUGUCUGUGGGGAAAGGAUUGAGAGCCUUAUCAAAGCAGGAAAGAUACAAGAUCCCAGCUUUGCAAAUUAUUCAAGUUCUAAGAAGCCAUUCUCUGGGGCACCCAGAAGGGGAGAGAAUGAAACAAAUGCUAUGCACCGUCGAAGGAGUGCAAGCAGAGGACCAUAUCGUCAGGUCGCUGCUGUGACUAUCCCAGCAACUCAAACUCCGCAGCAACAGAGAAAACCAACUCAGCAAUAUCAACAUCAACAACAUCGUCCUCAGCAGCAGGCUUACCAGCCUCCCAAUGAUAAUCAAGCCAAUACGGGUAAUGAGAGGAAGAGGAUCAUUUUUGACCCGAUUCCUAUGUCUUACGCAGAGCUGUAUCCCUCGUUGAUAGAGCGGAACUUGAUUACUCCUAGAGACCCGCCGGCUAUACCCGUCAACCCUCGGUGGUGGUAUAGGCCCGAACAGCAUUGUGUGUAUCACUCGGGUGCUCCUGGUCAUGAUGUGGAUAGUUGUUUCCAGCUGAAGAUGAAGGUUCAAGACCUUAUAAGGUCAGGUAUUCUGAUCUUGGAGGAUUUAGGUCCCCGUGUUAAUCAAGCUUGAAGAUAACAAGUCCUGGGCUGGCGCCGACUUUUCUUCAGAAAGGUUGUUCAGAAAAUAGAAGUUGUUGAUGCAAGAGAUACUGACAGUUGUUAUCCCUGGUGGGAUCUAUCACAAUUGGGUCACUGUGGGUGUUCCUACAGUUGUUCAGAAGUCAGAGUAAUAAUCACUUUGUUUAAAAACCCUUCUCCCAUGCCAAAGGGAGAAGUGAUGACUUUAUUGGCAACACUUUGUGCAAUGAUAUUUUCAUUCAAAUAAAUGCAUGUUAAACAUUUGUUUUUCCAAUUGUUUUCCCUUUUCGCUUUUUGCAUGAAAUCGGUGAUCACAAAAAACCCUAAAAACAAGAAUAAAAGCCAUCUUUUCAUCUGCAUAACGAUUGUUUGUUUGAUUUUCAAAAAGCUUUUCAAUAUCGAACAUCAUUAUGCCAGGUUGUUUCUCAAACCAUUGAACAUAAUGAUCGGACGUCAUCUCCCAAUUUUGAAAUUCCCUGUAUUCGAAGUAGAAGAGAUGAUGUUGAAGGACUCCUGACGAGAGUUUCCCGACUUCUGAGCAAGAAAAGAAGAUCACUCAGCUGCAUCUCGAGAAUCAGCAGAACAGCCAACUGGGGCAUCAAAAAAAAAAUCAAUUAAAACAAAAAAAAAAAAAACAAAGAAAGAGAGGGUGCAAAAGAAAUCAAAAGAAAUCAAAAGCAAAAUCAAAAGGAAAAAACAAAAGAAAAAUAACACCCUCAAAGUCCCAAGUUGACUGAUGCUGAAUUCGAUCGAAAAGAAGAGAUCAACUGCCAUGUGUCAUGGUCAGUUAUAUCAGCAGAUGAAAGCAUUCAACAAGAAGGUCAAGCCUCGUGUGUUCCGAGAGACCCUGUGCUCAAGAAAGUCUUGUCUUUCGUGCCCGAUUCCAGGGGCAAGUGGACGCCAAGCUAUGAAUGUCCAUAUAUGGUCGAGAAAGCCUUUUCAGGCGGUGCUCUAACAUUCACAACAAUGGAUGGAGAAGUUCACUCAUCCUAGGAAGUCCGGUGCAGUCAAGAAAUACUUCGCCUAGAAUAAAAAAAAAAGGCAAAACAGCUCGCUAAGUCGAACACCCCAAAGGGCGACUUAGGCAAAAAGGAGCGUCUCGGUGGAUUGAAAACCCGAAAGGGCGAUCCAGGCAAAAGUUAGAGACAUUGGAAAAAAGAGUUUGCAUCCCGCUAGAUUGAGCACCUCACACUGGGGCAAUCUAGGCAAAAAUUAGGGAUUUGGCAAGUAACUGCAUCUUGACAAGAUUGUGCCGUGUUCUAUAUCUGUCAUCCGCCAGGAAUUCUCGAUUCGUCGUCGACUGAAUCUCCGAAUACAUCGAAAAUUCGGAAUGGUAGAGGAAAGGUCAUUAUGUUCAAUGUAUCCCUCUCCAAUAUAUAUCACCGAUUUCAAACUUGUACAGAUCUAUGGAGUCUCGCCCUUUGCAGACUACUAUUCCAUUACACUGAUUUGAGCUUUUAUCCAAUUCUUUGCACUCUUAUUUGUUUCAACUCAACAAAUGUUUUGCAUGUUUUAAUUGAUAAAGUAUCAUUGUUUUCAAAAUAAACAAAUUUUUCAAAAUUGUUCUUAAACAAAGUGAACAUUCACCAUGAUGGAAGGAUACUUAGGAGACCCGCAGUGCUCUCCCAAGGGUGGUAUGAUCACCAACAGGUAAGACAUUUGUUCGUAUCUCGAGCAUAACUAUAUCUUUGUCCUGCAGAACCUUUUCAGGGUUACUUCUCAGCGAGGUUGCUCAGUGCAGUGUUGGUCGAAGUUGUUCAUCUUCAUGUCCCCGACAGUGCAACAUUUUUCCCCAGGUCCCUGGUAGCUCUAUUGUGGGGCAGCACUAGUAAAGUGAUGUUUGAGCCCUACUGAGGGGCAUCCUUAGCAAGUUUGCUAUUUGAACGUUAUUGUGGGGCAGUUCUCGAGCAGUAUGUGUACUGAAGACUUCAACUUUCGUCUCUCCAGCAAAACAGUCUUCUCCUCCCUGGCACGGGUGCUUUUCUGCAACGAUUCGGUAUUUGGAGGGUUGACAUCCCAGUAUUCUGUCAUUUUCUCGGGUAGGUCCUCAGCAGAGUGGUUGACAUGAGGAACUUCAUCAACGCCUAUCUAUUUUCACUAGAGAUCUGGUUGAUGCUUGGUAUCUCUGUUCUCCAGCAGGAGUGAGAAGUCGGUGCUCUCCCCGCAGAGUUUUCCUCAAGCAGACUUCUUCAAACAGAGUCUCCCCACAGAGUUGGAGUAUCUGAUCAGUUCGGCUCCCUAGCCGGAGUUCAUUUUGCAUUUUGCAUAUAGUGAUCAUUGCAUCCUCAAACUGCGUAGCAUUUCCAUUCAUAAUGGAGCAUUACGUCGUAGAAAAAGUCAAGCAUGUGCAUUCAUGGGUUAACCCCAUCAGACCGUAUCCCCGGCAGAGGCAGAUUCUUGUUCGACAUCUGUACAUUCGCUACAGUUGCUCCUGACGGCUUUCAGGAUUGGCCCCCCCAGAGAGGUUUAUUUCCUCAUCCGUUGGUGAAAGAAAAACCUGGUACUUCCCCCCAGUAGCCUCCUAUCAGAUGUGGGUGUGUCUGAUCUCUCCGUGUAGAGCCAACCCCUUAAGCAGAAAGUGUCUAUCCUUUCCUGCCAUUUCCCCACCGAGAUACAUCCUCGUGGAUAACGGUUAUUUCCGUUCCCUCCCUAAUGGGAUGGGUUUUCCCUAUUGAGUUCGUUCCUCAUUAGGAUGUCUUGAUUCAGUUUGCCUUUUCGGAUCGACCCUGAAUUGGCCUCCUGGGGCUGUCUCUUGUGCUUCCCUGUAGUAUAAAUGAAUAAUUCAGUUUGCCUUUUCGGAUCGACCCUGAAUUGGCCUCCUGGGGCUGUCUCUUGUGCUUCCCUGUAGUAUAAAUGAAUAGUUGCUCACUAACCGGCGCUCAUUCAUCUUAUCCUCAGCGGAAUUUUUAGGCUUCUACCUACAACCCGGUAGUUGUAAGUCCUAUUGUUGUGGUUUUCUACCUACUGCUGGUAGUUGUAAAAUCCCACUUUCGUCCCCUAACAGAGGUAACCUUUGUGGUUCAUUCCGAUUGUUAGCGGAGUUCGCGGUCUUCUACCUACUACCCGGUAGUUGUAAAUCCUUUGUUCUCACCCUGUCCCUCACCAGAUUGAUUGUGGACUUCUACCUACGAACCGGUAGUUGUAAGUCCUAUUGUUGUGGUUUUCUACCUACUAUUGGUAGUGGUAAAAUCCCACUUUCAUCCCCUUGGUGGAGUUAACCCUUCGUGCUCAUCCUAUCGAUGACUGGUUACUUUUCUGUGGUUUUCUACUUACAAACCGGUAGAUGUAAUCCCCUCUUUGCAGUUAUCAGUACCCCGUUUGCGGUAUUGAUAUUCUUUUCCCCUCUGGAUAUUGGCCUUGAUCAAGCAGUAUUGUCCCCAGUGGGUCUUCCCCUUCCCUUUGGGUAUUUGCUCCGAGUUAGCAACUUUAUCCUCUGAUUGGUCAUCUUUUGCAUACCUAGUCCUGGUACCCUGAUGCCUUUCUUGUCGGUUGAUUUAUCCAUCUAACAACCUCAACCCGGUUAUGGAUAAUCUUCCAUGCGAGUAUGUUAUCUACGUUUUGACGGCUAUAGAUAAUAUGUCUCAUGCACUCGUUGGUCAGUCUUUUGAUUGUUACCUCCAGCAGAGUAAGAUUCGUAUUCCUUUGUUCGAAAUCGAAUGUCCAUCCUUUAACAAGUUUGCUUUCGUUCUCUUCAGGAUGAUGUCGGUCGUUUAUCCAUUUAACAACCAAUCCGGUUAUGGAUAAUCUUCCGUGCGAGUAUGUUAUCUACGUUUUGACGGCUAUAGAUAAUAUAUCUCAUGCGCUCUUGGGUCGAAGUCGUCCUCCCCAGUUGAGUAAGAUUCGUAUUCCUUUGUUCGGAAUCGAAUAUCCGUCCUUUAACAAGUUUGCCUUUGCUCUCUUCAGGAUGAUGUCGGUCGAUUUAUCCAUUUAACAACCUCCAAUCCGGUUAUGGAUAAUCUUCCGUGCGAGUGUGUUAUCUACGUUUCGACGGCUAUAGAUAAUAUAUCUCAUGCACUCUCUGGUCAGUCUUUUGAUUGCUUUCUCCAGCAGAGUAAGGUUCGUAUUCCUUGUGGAAUCGAAUAUCCAUCCUUUAACAAGUUUGCUUUCGCUCUCUUUAGGAUGAUGUCGGUCGAUUUAUCCAUUUAACAACCUGCAACCCGGUUAUGGAUAAUCUUCCAUGCGAGUCUAUUAUCUACGUUUUGACGGCUAUAGAUAACAUAUCUCAUGCACUCUCUGGUCAGUCUUUUGAUUGCUUUCUCCAGCAGAGUAAGGUUCGUAUUCCUUGUGGAAUCGAAUGUCCAUCCUUUAACAAGAUCUGCUUUUCUAGCCCUCUUCAGGAUGUUGAGUGUUUUGGAGCAAACCAAUUCACGCUUUGGUCGGUCACCUGUUUCAUACCUACAACCCGGUGUCCUUGGUGUUCCUUCCUGUUUGCUCACUAUCGUGACCUUGAUCCCCAGUGAGAUCCCCUGCAAGUGUUUAGCCUUGCCUUGACAUAAAUGUCGGUAUCCUGGCAGCACCCGCGUGUGUUGUUUCUUUGGUGUCGGUAAACACCAUCUUUCGGUGCUUUCCCAGUCAUGCGUAAGUGUCUGGUCUUUUUUGAUGUCGGUAAACAUCAUCUUUCGAUGUUUGUAACGUCGUCCUCCUUCCCCAGAAGAGUCCUCCUCUCCGUUGGUGUCGAUAAACGUCGAGUUUUUCCUAUGCGUCCGUUGACGUAUAGUUGCUUAUUCCCCACAGAUCGUUUGGUAGUACCAGAUGGUUCCCCUCAGAGUUCUCCUCUCCGUUGGUGUCGAUAAACGUCGAGUUUUUCCGAUCGUCUGGUGACGGUUGUGGUUGAUAUAUUCCCCAUGCAGAGUCCUCCUCUCCGUUGGUGUCGAUAAACGUCGAGUUUUUCCCAGUUAUCCGUUGAUGAUUUGGUUGUGUUCGCUCUCCCUAGACGAGUUCUCCUCUCCGUUGGUGUCGAUAAACGUCGAGUUUUUCCUAUGCGUCCGAUGACGUAUAGUUGCUUAUUCCUCACAGAUCAUUCAUUAAUGACUGUUGAUUCCCCUCAGGUCCUCCUCCCCGUUGGUGUCGAUAAACGUCGAGUUUUUCCUAUUCGUCCUAUGACGUCUAGUUGUACCCUUCCCCAUGCGGAUUUACCUCCCCGUUGGUUUCGAUAAACGUCGAGUUUUUCUCAUUCGUCCGUCGACGUCUGAUUGUAUACCCCUUUCCCAGUCAUUCAUUAAUGUCUGGUUGAUUCCCAGCCAGAAUCCCCAGUAGACGUCCUAUUCGGUUUCUGAUUGUGGUGCCUUUCCCUCGUGAAGUGGCUUUCUCCUUCUCCGUUGGUGUCGAUAAGCCAGAAUCCCCAGUAGACGUCCUAUUCGGUUUCUGAUUGUGGUGCCUUUCCCUCGUGAAGUGGCUUUCUCCUUCUCCGUUGGUGUCGAUAAACGUUGAGUCUCCCUUUCGUCCUAUGACGUCUGGUUGAGCUUUCUCCUUCUCCGUUGGUGUCGAUAAACGUCGAGCUUCUCCCUUUCGUCCUAUGACGUCUGGUUGAGUUUUCUCCUUCUCCGUUGGUGUCGAUAAACGUUGAGUCUCCCUUUCAUCCGAUGAUGUCUGGUCUCCUUCUCCGUUGGUGUCGAUAAACGUCGAGCUUCUCCCUUUCGUCCUAUGACGUCUGGUCGAGUCUUCCCAUUCAUCCGAUGAUGUCUGGUCUCCGUCUUCGUUGGUGUCGAUAAACGUCGAGCUUCUCCCUUUCGUCCUAUGACGUCUGGUAGAGUCUUCCCAUUCAUCCGAUGAUGUCUGGUCUCCUUCUCCGUUGGUGUCGAUAAACGUCGAGCGUCUCCCUUUCGUCCGAUGACGUCUGGUCGAGUAUUCCCAGUUCAUUCAUUAAUGUCCGGUUACCUCUCCGUUGGUUUUGGUAAACGUCGAGUUUUUCCUGGUCAUCCCAGCUGAUUCACCUCUCCGUUGGUUUUGGUAAACGUCGAGUUUUUCCCACUACGUCCGCUGACGUAUGGUUGUAUCCUUUCCUGGUUAUCCCCAGUAGAGUUGAUUUACCUCUCCGUUGGUCUUGGUAAACGUUGAGUUUUUCCUAGUCGCCCGCUGGCAUCUAGUUGAGAUUUCUGUUCCCAUUCAUCGUGUGUCGAUGUCUGGAUGUGGUUGUGCUUUUGAAAGAAGAAAAACAGAAAAGAGACAAAUUCCCAGCAGUGUGCAAAUUCUACGGUUCUUGGUAUUCAAUCCCUGUUUACCCUGAAAGUCUGACAGCCGUUGCUCUCAUCCCUUCGGGUUCCCAGUUGAUUGAAUAGGGGCAGCUGUAGCACCUCAAAUUUGCACCNNNNNNNNNNNNNNNNNNNNNNNNNNNNNNNNNNNNNNNNNNNNNNNNNNNNNNNNNNNNNNNNNNNNNNNNNNNNNNNNNNNNNNNNNNNNNNNNNNNNNNNNNNNNNNNNNNNNNNNNNNNNNNNNNNNNNNNNNNNNNNNNNNNNNNNNNNNNNNNNNNNNNNNNNNNNNNNNNNNNNNNNNNNNNNNNNNNNNNNNNNNNNNNNNNNNNNNNNNNNNCGUUGGUGUCGAUAAACGUCGAGCUUCUCCCUUUCGUCCUAUGACGUCUGGUAGAGUCUUCCCAUUCAUCCGAUGAUGUCUGGUCUCCUUCUCCGUUGGUGUCGAUAAACGUCGAGCGUCUCCCUUUCGUCCGAUGACGUCUGGUCGAGUAUUCCCAGUUCAUUCAUUAAUGUCCGGUUACCUCUCCGUUGGUUUUGGUAAACGUCGAGUUUUUCCUGGUCAUCCCAGCUGAUUCACCUCUCUGUUGGUUUUGGUAAACGUCGAGUUUUUCCCACUACGUCCGCUGACGUAUGGUUGUAUCCUUUCCUGGUUAUCCCCAGUAGAGUUGAUUUACCUCUCCGUUGGUCUUGGUAAACGUUGAGUUUUUCCUAGUCGCCCGCUGGCAUCUAGUUGAGAUUUCUGUUCCCAUUCAUCGUGUGUCGAUGUCUGGAUGUGGUUGUGCUUUUGAAAGAAGAAAAACAGAAAAGAGACAAAUUCCCAGCAGUGUGCAAAUUCUACGGUUCUUGGUAUUCAAUCCCUGUUUACCCUGAAAGUCUGACAGCCGUUGCUCUCAUCCCUUCGGGUUCCCAGUUGAUUGAAUAGGGGCAGCUGUAGCACCUCAAAUUUGCACCCUACCAUUUUGUACAUUCAUUUCAUAUUAGGUCAUAACACAAUGUAGUCCAUUGCAUAGCAUUGCAUAGCCAUUUGCCCAAGUGCAAGUUCAACUGACAAAUUAGGUCAACUGAUCAGGGGAAUCAGUCAAACAAGCAAGCAAGUGCCAUUGCCAUUGAGACAAAGCUCUAGGGUUGUUUUAUCAAGUUCAUAUGGUCUAAGGAUCAUUGUGAAGUGAUUUGGCCAAGGAUGGGAUGAUCAAAGCUCAACAGUCAAGCUGAAUGUCCUCUGAAACCCAUAAAAGUCAACUGUAAGUCAACCGAGGGCUAGGAGGUGGAGAGAUGGGUUGAGACGCUUCCUUCAUGUCCCAAAGAAGUUCAUUUGUCAUUACAAAUACUUAUCUUGAAGAAUUUGAGGUUAGAAAUCAUUUCGUUCUUUUCUCGAAUUAAUCUUGGAAAUUCAAGUUGAGUUGGAUGAUCCGAGUUGAUUACUGAAAAGUUGAUUUGGUUGUGGAAAUUUAAUCAUGAUUGCAUUGAGCCCAUUCUUUCCUUUUUUGUUAAGCCCAUAAGUUUGGUCCAUUAACCAUUUUCCAAAUUAAUCCAUGUUUCUAAACAAUUUUUAAAUCCACAUCAAUCCAAUUUCAUUUUGUUAUCCAUUCAUCAAUUUAAUAAUCCAUUUCCUUUUUUCCAUAAACCAUUCACUAAUCCAUUUUACUCAUAUCCAUUUCAAAUCCAAUUCAAUUUCAUUGUUAAUAUCCAAGUUUAUUCAUCCAAAUCAUCAUCCAAUCAACCCAUAUUUCAUUUUAUUAAACCAACUCACCAUUAUCCAAACCAUUUUUGCAUUUGACAAAAAUUCUGCAUUAUAAAAUUCUGCACUGCAUUACAAAUUCUGCAUUGCAUUCAACAAAAUUCUGCACUAAAAAAAUUCUGCAUUGCAUUUACAAAUUCUGCAUAAUCAAAAUAAAAAAUUCUGCAUAAAAUGAGAAACAAAAUUCUGCAUAAAACUGUUAUAAAAAUUCUGCAUUAAAAUCAAAACAAAAUUCUGCAUAAAAUCCAAAUGAAAAUUCUGCAUAAAAGGAAAAUAUGGAAAAGUUGCAACGCAAAAACGCACAGCAUUACGGUAACGCCGGCAAUNNNNNNNNNNNNNNNNNNNNNNNNNNNNNNNNNNNNNNNNNNNNNNNNNNNNNNNNNNNNNNNNNNNNNNNNNNNNNNNNNNNNNNNNNNNNNNNNNNNNCCUUCCCCUUGCGUAAUCGACUCCCGAACCCGAAUAUGGUUGCGACGACCAUUAUUCUUAUCUUUAAAGGUUUUCUCGAUAUUUUCCUAUUCCUUCAUUGGAAUGAAUAAAGUUCGGUGGCGACUCUAUUUCGAACAACAUUUUUUCCGCGUCCUAUCGCGAGGGAUCGCAUUAUCAUCAUUUUUUGAGGUGCGACAGACUGGCGACUCUGCUGGGGACCCUGCUCCAAGCAAGAGAGAGUCUAACCUAACUUAGUCUGAUUUUGCUAUGACUGUUGAAAGAUAUUCUUUCUUUCCACGUUUAUAUUUCUGUAUUUUAUUCUGAUUGUUUGUGUUGUAUGUAUUUCCUCUUGAUGCUAUAAUAUGGGGCUUGAUGUAUGUUGUGAGAUAAGCUCCAUACCCGAGCUUCGAGAAAAACUUAGAACCCGGAGUUGUGUAGUAUUGAACCGAGGGGCGUACGCCUAUUGGGACAAUACGAAGACUCCACCUAGAUUAGAUCUGUUUGGAGUUCCCAUCACAAUAUGGCUAGCCCAUCAUUGCGGUGGAGGUUCUAAACACGAUCCGUGACUCUAGGGACCUUGCCUUAAAACCAAGUUUUGUUUUCAUAAUCGGUGAUUAUGUAGUAUUGAACCGAAGGGUGUACACCCUGUUCGUACAAUACGAGAAUCCCACUUAGAUUAGAUCAUUUCAGAACUCCCAUCACAUUGUGGCUAGCCCACCAUUGCGAGGAAGUUUUGAACUUGAUCCGUGAGUCUAAGUUCCUUCCUUGAAAACAUAACUUUAGAACCUACCUUUGGGAAUUUCUAAUCAGAGAAACUUGUACUUCUUCCUCUUAUCCUGACGUACCUGACGUGUGAAUAAUCUUGAGUCUGUAUUCCUUUCCGAAGAACAUGGCACAAUUUCAUGCAUUCGCAUAUCAUAAACAUGCAUUGCAUUUCAUCUUCCAGAAACAAAAACUUACACCAUAUUCUACCCUUUGUCCAGUAAACGCUGACUACUCGACACCGGUACGAGACACGCUGCAAUUACAAGAUGACACUUGAACAGCUUGAAGCCAACCAAGUUUCGAUGAGGACCGACAUUGACUCCAUGCAGGCAAAGAUGGAUCGCUUGCUGGAAACCAUGUUACUCUUGGCCCAAAAGGAGAAGGAUGCUGAGACUAACGCUGAAGCUAGGAAAGUUGCUGCCGAGUUUGGAUCGCCAUCACUUAGCAUCCCUGGAGUAACUAACCUUGAUGGUAAUCCUGCCCAUCCUGAGGGAGGACCGAUCCUUAUUCCUGUUCCCAUGGUCAACAUGAACCCCCGUGAGCAUUCUGCUACAUCUGCUCGCCAUGGAUCCGUGAUGGGCGAUGAAGAUCCGUAUGACGCUUUCUUCAUGCCACAACCCGCCAAGCUUGCUGUUGGAGGUCUCCCAAACCCAAAUGUUGAUAGACUCCAGGCUUUGGAGGAAAAGUUUAAGUCCUUGGAGGUUCACACUACUCCCGGUUUAGACGCCGUUGAUAUGUGCCUGGAGCCAGGACUCGUGAUUCCACAAAAAUUCAAAGUCCCAGACUUUGACAAGUACAAAGGGAUCAGCUGCCCGAGAACUCACCUCAGAGCUUAUUGCCGUAAGAUGGCUGCCCACAUCAGUAAUGAUCAACUCCUGAUUCAUUACUUCCAAGAUAGUCUCAGUGGGGCAUCCUUGGAGUGGUACAUGCAAUUGGAGAAAGGUCAGGUCCAGUCAUGGAGAGACCUUGCUGAAGCAUUCCUCAGGCAUUACCAGUACAAUACUGAUCUAGCACCCAAUCGCACACAGCUGCAAGACAUGACUCAGCGCAAUAAUGAGCCAUUCAAGGAAUAUGCACAACGUUGGAGAGAGCUAGCGGCUCGUGUUCAACCUCCUCUCCUCGACAAAGAACUAAUUGAUAUGUUUAUGGGAACCCUGCACACCCAGUACAUGGAGAAGAUGGUAGGAUCCAGUUUCCCAACUUUUUCUGAGGUCGUCUCUGUGGGAGAACGAAUUGAGAGCCAGAUCAAGAAGGGAAAGCUACCUUGUGCUGCUAAUGCCUCAAAUGGGAUGAAGAAACCUUAUCCUAAUCUCCCAAAGAAGCCAGAAGGGCAAACCAAUGCCAUAAUGAGAGGAGGAGGAUAUAGGGCACGUCCGUAUGCUCCUAUGCCUUACGAUCAGUUUCUGCGGUCAUCCCGACACCAUAUCAGCCACCCUAUCAACAACAGUAUCAACAGCCUUAUCAACAGCCGGCUUACCAACAGCCGCAUCAAAAUCAACAGCAACGUGCUCCACAACCACGUCCACCUAACCAGCAAAGGGCAAGGAGGCCAGAAAGACAUUUCGAUCCUUUGCCAGUACCAUACAGCAAGAUCCUUCCCUACCUGCUAAAGGAUGGAUCAAUUGUUUUGAAGGAGCUAACACCUGCAACUCCGCCAUAUCUACCAGGCUACAACGUCAAUGCUCACUGUGAGUAUCACAUGGGUGCCCCAGGGCACACAAUAGAGAACUGUAAGGCUUUCAAGCACAAGGUCCAGGACUUGGUUGAUAGUAAGGCACUUACAUUCACACCAGUGAGGCCAAACGUUGCAACGAACCCCAUGCUGGCGCAUGCAGAGUCAAGUGAAGCUCGAAGGUAAAGCUUCCCACCAGCCUGAACAAGCAGAGCAUUUCCUCCGAAGAAUCAAAAGAUGAAGGCCUGUUCAUCUGAAUGAAGGCAAUCAUUGUGCCAUUUUUACCAUUUUUGCAUUCUUGUAAUUUGAUCUUGUUUGUCUAAGUACUGUAUGCUCUAAACAUUGUCAUUUGUAUUUGGUUUUAUUAAUGGGAUGAUUAUGCAUGCUUUGAAUCAAUCUUUCAUAUUCACUCAUCUAUCACAUUUGCAAAUCACAAACACAUACUUUUCCACCUCACUUUCUUUCAUCACACUAUUGUUAGUAAAUGUACUUUCAUAUUCACUCAUCUAUCACAUUUGCAAAUCACAAACACAUACUUUUCCACCUCACUUUCUUUCAUCACACUAUUGUUAGUAAAUGUUGGAAGGAGGAUGACGAAAACAAAAUACUCAUAAUUACUGAUUGUAUGCUUUCGGAUAAAACCUUGCUGAUGAUGUACAGGCAUUGUUUCAAAUCCCCAAAUACUGGAGAGAUAAGGAGUUAAUCCAUAGUCAACCACUUCGAGCCUAGAAGUAGGAGUUUCUUUCAGAUCUACAAACCCUUAUGCUUAACCGGGGGCAGGGUAGUGUUCAGUUGAUUUGACUACACAUUCAAAUUACAAGAUGAAAUAUCCCAUACAAGGAUCAAUCACAUGAUAUUCUUCACACACAUAUUGAAGUGUCGAAGAAACCAUACAAAUCCAAAAUUUAGGUUCGUUGUUCUUCAAUGACCAAUGACUUGGCAGUCACAAUUCCAAAAAAAAAAUCAAAGAAAAAACCCGCUAAGUCUAACACCCUGAAAGGAGACUUAGGCAAAAACUGGGGCAAUCCCGAUGGAUUAAAGCUUCAAACAGAGCGGUCCAUGCAAAAGUUAGGGAUCAAAGCAAAAAUCAAAAGAGGCAAUGAAAAUCUUCAACAAAAACAAAACAAGAUUCAGUGACCACCAUAUCAAGAAUCAAAAGGUCACCGACAUCCAAAAAACGAAAUAAGGUGGCUGCCAUUCCAAGAGACCUUGAAUCACCAUCUUUACCCUUACACCUGCAAAAGACGAACGUGUGUGAAUUAACUGAACGUAGGAUUGGAGGUCAUCAUGAAGAAGGGGUGGGUUAAAAUAAACUUUGAGCCUUAUAUCCUUUUGUUUCAAUAACCAUGAACCAAGCCACGUUACAACCCUCAAAAGACCUAAUUGAAGUAAGGUUUGUUCUGAAGGCAUACUAUAGCAAGGUUGAGUAAACUGACUCCCAAAGAUUUGCUAAUAUUCUCUUCUCACUAUAUCAUUCACACACUAGCUGAAUCAGCACCGCGUUUGGACUCAUGGUCCACUCGUCACACACUACCACAACACUCUGAGUGAAUGAUUGUUUUUUAAAAUUUGCAUAAUCGUUGCAUUAAAAUCACCAUUUCUUGAAUAACAAUUCUUAAUUAUCAGUCAGUACUUGAUAUCGAGAAAGAUCCUACAAAGGGCAAUUCAAGGGGCACUUGAUUGAUGGUGCUGACACAUAUCAAGACCAUCUUGUGAAUCAGGGGCAUGGCAUCUUUUGAUCAUAUUGACCUAAGACGUAGUCUGUGUAAGACAAAUCUCCAAGCAUCGGUUGAUCAGGGAAAAAAACACUUCAAUACUCAGUCCGUCUGGGGCAAGUCCCUCAAAGGCUAAUCAGGGGCAGACCAUUGCAAGAUUCAGGAGUUGGGAAAAAUAAACUCAGGCCAUGUCAUGGGAUAAUCACUCCUAAGGUUACCUUUCAAGGAAAAUUCCUUUGAACACCCUACAGUCAGGGGCAAGACAAGUUGCAAGGGGCAAAAUUCCCUUCAUAUCUUCAAGUCAGUCAAGCAGAUUGCAUCAAGACAUUAGCGACUACUUGAAUUCACAACAAAAACGUCGAAAGUUCCUACCAGUACAACAUCAUACCUUGACAAGAAUCCUUAGAGCACGUCAAAAGCACAAUCAUCAUGCGUUAAUCACGUCGCUAUGCUCAGUUACAGGCUGGCCAGGCAUCUUAGAAGAAGAAUCGAGAUCUUCUCGAAGACAAAUACAUAAUAUAUCAGCAAGAGAUCAAACUUGGGGCACCAAGAGUAUCCGCAUCUAUUGCGUGUUCAUCACAUCAUCAGCUACCGAGUGUCGGGAAGUCAGAUCAUGUCACCAAUCAACAGUCCAAUCCACAUUGACAAUUACCAAAAAAACCAAAGCCCGCCUUGGUGGCACCUACACAAAACAAAAAUAACCAACAUUGGUUUCCAAAAAUACAUCACCUUUAAAAGGGGGGCCAAUCCCAAACAAACCAAUCAUUCUUUGCAUUUAAACAUGCAUCACAUACAUCACCUCAUACAUAACGCAUACAUAUCAUUCAUGUACAUAACACGAAUCAAAACCCAAGGUUUAGUCAUAGGCAUCCAGGCCAAUCCUCAAUUGAGUCAUUGUCACUUUCUCUGAGUGAGUUCCUACCCUAUUGGGCGUUCCCCAUUGAGUUAUAUCCUUUAAUCUUUGGUUAAUAAGAUGUCAUCCUCAGCUAAGUCAAGCAAUGUUUCUUUAAACACUUACCUUGUUUCACAUUGAGCGUCCCUCAAUGAGUCGUUUCCUGUAACCUUUUGUUGACAGACACUACAUCUCCCCAGAGAAUAUUGGCUUUGCAACCUUUUGUUGACAGAAACUACAUCUCCCCAGAGAAUAUUGGCUUUGCAACCUUUUGUUGUCAAUACCCCGAGCAAGUCUCAUCCAGCAAUGUUCCAAUGCUACCUAACAAAUCAGGUUUACUGAACUUUGUCGGUAGCUUUGUUUUUCCAAUAUUUUUCUCACUAUCAUCCUUUUGGUGGAAGCCCAAUGAGGAAUAAUAUUGAUCAUCACCCUGUUUACGAUCACCGUUAUCCUUUUGGUAAUGGUAAAUCCUUGAUAUUUGCGAUCUUACUGUCAUCCUUUUGGUGUCGAAGAUCCUUGAAGUUUUGGUCCAACCUUCAUCCUUUUGGUGAAUGGUGACCUCUACAAUUAUUACAGCCUACCGUCAUCCUUUUGGUGUCGAAGAUCCUUGAAGUUUUGGUCCAACCUUCAUCCUUUUGGUGAAUGGUGACCUCUACAAUUAUUACAGCCUACCGUCAUCCUUUUGGUGUCGGCGAUCCUUAUGGUGAUAAGCAAUCCUUGUCAUUUUGGUUCAACCAUCAUCCUUUUGGUGAUGACGUCCAGUUCAAUCCAAUAUCAUCCUUUUGGUGAUAGGGACUAUGGAGUUCAGUUUAAGCUAUCAUCCUUUUGGUGAUGGUGACAUUUGGAAAGUCCAUUCCCACUGUCAUCCUUUUGGUGUCAGCAAUAUUUGAAGUUAUUAUAACUUAUUAUCAUCCUUUUGGUGGUAACAUGUUUUGAAGUUAUGAUCUCACCUUUAUCCUUUUGGUGAUGGUGAUUGUGGAUUCAUUAUCAUCCUUUUGGUGAUAACGAUUUCUGUUGUGUUGUAGUGCCUUCAUCCUUUUGGUGAUGGUGACUAUCGACUUAUUAUCAUCCUUUUGGUGGUAACAAGUUGUGUCUUUUGACAAUACCUUCAUCCUUUUGGUGAUGGUGAUUGUUGACUUAUUAUCAUCAUUUUGGUGAUAACAAGUUUGUGUCUUGAUCCUACCUUCAUCCUUUUGGUGAUGGUGAUCAAUUGCGUGUGUGCUUCUUAUCAUCCUUUUGGUGGUAACAAGUUUUGUCGUUUGACAAUACCUUCAUCCUUUUGGUGAUGGUGAUUGUUGACUAUCUUAUCAUCCUUUUGGUGAUAACAAGUUUGUGUCUUGAUCCUACCUUCAUCCUUUUGGUGAUGGUGAUCAAUUGCGGUGUGUGUAUAUCAUCUUUGUGAUAAACUAAGUUUUGUCGUUUGGACAACAAACCUUCAUCCUUUUGGUGAUGGUGAUUGUUGACUUCUUAUCAUCCUUUUGGUGAUAACAAGUUGUGUGUCUUGAUCCUACCUUCAUCCUUUUAGUGAUGGUGAUCAGUUGCGUGAGUGCUUAUUAUCAUCCUUUUGGUGGUACUAAGUUUUGUCGUUUGACAGUACCUUCAUCCUUUGGUGAUGGUGAUUAUCAUCCCUUUGGUGAUAACAAAUUUGUCUUGAUCUUACUUCAUCCUUUCUGGUGACGGUUGAUCAAUUGCGUUGUGUGCUUAUUAUCAUCCUUUUGGUGGUAACAAGUUUUAUCUUUUAAUUAUACCUUCAUCCUUUUGGUGAUGGUGAUUAUCAUCCUUUUGGUGAUAACAAGUUUGUCUUGAUCUUACCUUCAUCCUUUUGGUGACGAUGAUCGAUUGUGUGUUGAUUUAUUAUCAUCCUUUUGGUGAUAACAAGUUUGUUGUGUGACUAUACCUUCAUCCUUUUGGUGAAUGGUGAUCAUUGAAGUUGUUUGACUUAUUAUCAUCCUUUUGGUGAUAACAAGUUUUGAUUGUUGGAUAUUACCUUCAUCCUUUUGGUGACGGUGAUCUUUGAAGUUGAUGAAUUAACUAUCAUCCUUUUGGUGAUAGUCUUGAUACUAUACUCUCAGUAAUGGGAAUCUUUGGAUUGUGUCUAGCUUUCAUCCUUUAGGUGAUAGCGAGAUUUGUUGUUAAUCUUACCAUCAUCCUUUUGGUGAUGGCGAUCUUUGUUGUAGCCACUGUAACCAUCAUCCUUUUGGUGAUGACUACCUUUGAAACUCAACUUAUCCAUCAUCCUUUUGGUGAUGACAAUCCUCAAAAUCAUGGUGAAUCUCUGUCAUCCUUUUGGUGUCAGAAAACCGAUCCCAAUUUUGUCUUUACAUCAGAAACGACCUUUACAAGGUUUGAAUGUUGACUCGAGGGUUGACAUUGAUCGGACAUCCUACCCCAAUACCUUGGUGCCGUUAGAAUCCAUUGCAUUUCAUUUCAAAGGACAAAUUUGGGUCUUUUUAUAUUUAAUUACCUUCCACCACGAAUGUACGAAGACUGUCGUCAUUCUUACCCUCUGGUUCAAGUUAAUUAAAUAGGGGCAACUGUCAUACCCCAAUUUUGUCCGGGCAUAUUUAAAUUUCGAUAAAAAAAUCAAUUUCAUUUUUUUUACAUCAUAUGCAUAGCAUAACAUGCAUUCCAUCAUAAAUAAUGCAUAAAAACAUGCAUUUCAAUAAAAUCAAUUUCGUCUAGGAGUAUGGUUUAUUGCACAAAUACAAGGAAAAGGGAUAUCUUCUUGAGGUGGAAUGCUAGUAUGGAUCAAGGUCAGGUUUGAGUUUCGUCUUGCCAACACCAUAAUGCUAAAUCCUUAAGCAAAGUCAUGAACAUGGUUUAUUACAGACAGCAAUCGCUGACAUGCCAAAGUAGUCCAUAACCUUUAAUGAGAUCACGGUUGGUUUGAGAACAUUGCUUAUUUUGUUUUUUGCACCUUACUGAACCAAGUUGGCAAGAGUUGACAAGAUAUUAAAUGAAUGACUUAAAUUCACGAUUUUUGUUCUUCAUUUGUAAUCAUCAUUUAGGCCACAGAUUAAGAGGUCUUUAGGAUAAAGACCAAGUGUUCAGACGUGUGUCAAAUGGCCAAGAAUCCCAAAAUACAAUAUGGCAUGGUUUAAAAAUAUCAAUGUAGAAUUACAUUAGCUGAACAAAUUUUGGAUUUUUACAAACAUAAUUGUUUCAAUUGCCAUUAAUGGAAAUACAUCAUUGUUUUCGAUUACAAGCAAUCCUAGGUUCUGAAUAAUAUUACAGCCAAGCCAAAUGGAAGAAAUAAUUUUCUAAAAAAAUCAAGAAUACACAUCAUCCUGUCAUGACAGUCGCCCAUGCCCUUCCCUGCAUUAUGCUUCCAUAAACCGUUUAGGAACCGCAGGGGUAUCCUCCAGCACCAUACUCUGACCGGCAAAUGAAUACAUGGUUUGUUUCUGUUGUCGCCACUUGCUAUAAGUAUAGUACCUGCUGCAAGCCAAAUCCAAACGUGUAUAACAUAAACCCAAAACUGCAACCUGCAAAGACCGCAGAAGCUCCACAUUAAUACAAACAGCAAGCGAAGGCAUAAGUUUACAAUUUGUAUUCUUAAACUUCACGGUUCACAGAAGUCCUAGCCUAUGAUCUGAAGACAUGUUGGCAAUACAAGAGAAUAUUAUUCAAGCAGUGAAAUAGCAUGGCAGCUGAGCAAUACAAAGCACUCUCUUCAUCAAGUAAUUCCAAGAAUUCGCGAGACACGUCCUGAUAAGCAUACCGCAAACUGCAAUCCAGAUGCCGAUUACAUAAUAUACCAGCUAGAGUGAGUAAGGUUAGCCGAAGCCAAAAGGCCAGUAUUAUCGUGGGAUUUCAUGUUGUUGCAAGAGGGGAAACAAUACCAGGCAGUGUUCUGAACUUAAGACCAUAACCAGGUUGCGCAAAACCGUGGAACAUAACUUAGCAUGCCACCAUUUCCAGUCAUUCAUCACGAGAAAAUUACAUUAAUCAUGAGGACGGUAUAUUCGGCAAAACAGUGAAUUCUACAUUACAGUCUGGAAAUGCAUAACGUGAAUUAAAGACAUGAAUAUGCCACUUAAACCAGGGCCUAUUCCUUUACAAACUUGCUGCAGAUUCAGUACACAAACCAAGACAAAAGGCACAUAAUAAAACCUGUUACUACAGUUUCUGCAGAAUUGACUAGGAGGUCUCAACAAGGACUGAGAUUGUUGGCUAGCCGUCAAUGACAAGGACCGAGCUUGUGAAUCAACUGCAGGUGUACAUAGAAGAAAGCCAAUAAAAACUGCCAAUGCACAUAGUUCGUCAUGAUUAAAAUGGUGUAAGGAAAUGCUAUCACGGGACUGUGAUGAGAGUUAACCAUACCAUUUGUGUGUAAACCAGGAUUAGCUAUCAGGGAGCUAGACGUGUCAGUAGGCCCGCUGCAGCCUGCAUACCAUAAAUGAGCCAAGGAACAUACAGGACACAAGUUUUGCAAUACCUGAAUGGUAAAACAACAGUUUGAUCAGAAGUAAAAUCAUGAAUAAGUAAGAGCAAGGUUAUAAUAAUAAGCAUAUUGUACAGGAUUCCAUGCAGGAUAAAUAGAUCAAAAUCAUUAUUUAUACCAAGCUCAAAUGUCAAUGGCACAUUGAAGCAGGUCGCAAGAAAUCGUAAGCAGAAGUUGGUCCUUAAUUCCCAAGCGUCAAAUUCUGAACUUACAAGAAAAGAAUAAAUUAUGAUCCAGGUGUGCAGAGAGUGAAAAAAAGAAAAUCAGAAGGGCCAUAGUUGAUCCAUCUUACUCUGUUUAAAGGAAACCGGUUCACUGGUAGCAAAACAAGCGGUAAUCAAGUAAAGACAUCGUUGUCGUGCGAACAGGAAUAACCAAAGGCAAGGAACAAUUCCAUAAACCUGCCAAGACAGAGUUACAGGUCAGAAGGCAAACCACCAUCAAAAUUCAUAGUGAAUGAAGGUAUGAGAAAUAAUCAAAAACCUGGGCUGAACCUUGACAGAAGCCUUGCCGAACCAACAAAUCCACAACAGACCGGCAUGGACUGCGUAACAGCUUAAAUGCGAGUGCAAUAGCAUCACGUUACCUGCAUAAACCAAGAGAAGCUUAAAUUUCUGGAAGUUAUGAGGAAACGCCCUGUCAUAUCAGUUGAAAAAAAGGCCACGUUGGCAAAACAAGGAAUAGUUAAGUGUUUUGAGGAUGAAAUUACAUAACAGUAAAAAUCAAAUUUUCUUACCACAGGAAGCAUGUAUUUUACUGCAUCGAAGAGAUUUCACUACCAACAAACUCUUCCGCUAAUGCUUAUCACUUUGGGACCACUUCUGUUUGGAGGGACCACGCAUCAUAGAGGGAUUCCACUACCAACAAACUCGCCUUACCACAAUCAUUUUUGUCCCCCACUAAGUCUGAGAUAUUCUAAUAGAAUGAUUCUUGGGAUCCUCCGCCAGCUCACAAUGAAUACAUUAUUGGGGACCUUGGAUUUCCUCUAUAAAUAAGGAGUCUCUAAUCAUUGAAAGGGGAAAAAAAAUUUGCACCGGUACUCUGCAGAAAAAAGUCCAAAACCCUUAUCAAAGCUCUAAAAUUUCUGAGCUUGUUGAGAUUUCACAUUGGAUCUCAACAAGUUUGAGCUAAAAACCACUACACGGAACGGACCAAUGAUAACCAUACAUACAAGAAGAACACGAAGGAAGGAAAAAGAAUAGAGAAAUACCUGAAGCAGAUCAAACCUCCUUGUUGUCGGUAUCCUUUCACAUUUACUUCCUUCACGCUGAAACCUUUAACAUAACUGUUAUUUGUUCAUGAUUGAGUUUGUAUUUCAACUUCCACCAUAGCAUAUAGUGACUUGGUAAUUGUUGAAUGAGUGUGUCGGUUUGUUUAGACUAUAUCAUUUGAAGUCCUUACGCUUCUUUGCUUCUCUAUACAUGCACAAUUCGUUGGUUAUUGAUUUUUUUGGGGAUUUGGGAUUUAGGGUAUAAUCGAUAACUGGGUAUGUAUGAUCGGUUUUGAUGUUCACCAGGGAUGAAUCAAUUUGUUGCUAGAUCUUUGCUUAGGACUUUGGUUAAAAACAUGAUGGCAUUGUUUCGGAGAUGGAGAGGGUCGAAGAUCUGAGAGAAGAGAGUGGAGAUUUGUUUUUGUGGUGGUUUUUUAAUUGCAUUUUAAUUAUGUUGAUGAUGGAAAGUAUGAAUCAUAGCUAGAUGCAGGUCAAUUAAUUAAUCAUAAAGUGCUAACAUUUCCCUAGACGCACGCGUUGUCCACCACCUGGGGAAGACCGUGGUCACGCGGACUCAGUGUUUUGGGUUUUUUUUUUUUCCUUUCACUCGGAACCUUUUGGGCGAGUCUAGAAGAGUUUGGGCUUAAGGCCCAUUUCAAAUUUUUGUUGCUGAGUAUAAAAAAGGAUUUUAGGGCCUUGGGGCCUAUUGCGAACCCUAGCCAGCUUUUAGGGCUUUACCCCCUGUUCAUUUUCCAUACCCCCUAAUUCUUUGGUUUAUUAAUUUCUUAUUUUGUAUGUUUUAUAAAAAAUAAUUACAGUAGCUUAAUUUUGAUUAUUAUUUCUAAUCAAAUUUUAGAACAUCAUAAUUAAUUAAAAUGUCUAAGUAUUUUACUUUUAAUCUUUAAAUGAAAAGGAGAAUAGUAAGCCUCCGCUUCACUAUUUCCCAAUUACUCGAAUAAUUGGCGUACGCCAUAUUGCGCGAGUUCUUGUCAUCCGAUUACAUCCUUAAACACAAUUUCAAAUCACUUUUCAAAAUAUAAUAUAAUUUCAAAAGAUUUUUCUCUUUUAAAUAUAGCUUGGGAUGAAAAGGAGAUAGGAAGCGUACGCUUCACUAUUUCUCAAGCACUUGAACAAUUGGCGUACGCCAUAUUGCGUGAGUUCUUG